AUAGCCGAGAGCUUCUACUUGUUUAUGAAUACAUGCCUAAUGGAACUGUCGCUGAUCAUCUUCAUGGAAGACAGUCGAACUCUGGUUUGCUCACUUGGCCUGUUCGGUUGAGCAUUGCUAUAGAGACAGCCAGUGCACUUGCAUACCUCCACGCUUCAGAUGUCAUACAUCGUGAUGUCAAAACCAAUAACAUUCUCCUAGACAACGACUUCCAUGUGAAAGUGGCUGAUUUUGGUUGUCGAGAUUGUUCCCAACUGAUGUAACUCAUGUAUCGACUGCUCCUCAAGGGACGCCUGGAUAUGUUGAUCCGGAGUAUUAUCAAUGCUACCAACUGACGAACAAGAGCGACGUUUACAGCUUUGGAGUGGUCUUGAUUGAGCUGAUAUCAGCUUUAGAAGCAGUGGACACCAAUAGGCAUCGGCAUGAUAUUAAUUUGUCCAUCAUGGCAGUGAAGAAAAUCCAAAACCAUGCUUUAAAUGAGUUGGUUGAUCCAUUUCUUGUAUUUGACAAGGAUUUCGGGGUGAGGAAGAUGGUAACAUCAGUUGCAGAAUUAGCUUUCCGGUGUUUGCAACAUGAGAGGGAAAUGAGGCCUACUAUGGAGGAAGUGUUGGAGAUCCUGAGGAGAAUUGAGAAAGAAAAUUACGGAGCAGAAAAGGCAGAUGUAUUGGAUAUUCGUGAGGAUGAUGUUGGUCUAAAGAAGCAUCCUCCUCCUCCACUCCAACUUUCACCAGAUUCUACGAGUGAUCAAUUUAGAGCAAGCAGUUCUUCAACUGCAACACCGCAUUCCUACUAGUUGUAGAGAUAUCCUUAUCCUUUGUGCUUACAAUAUGUGAGUAGAAAUUUCAAGUGUUGUACAAUCAAUGAGAAUGAGUUUAACCAUCUUCUCUUGGUUGGUAUUGUUAUGAUGAAAUAAUUGCAUGAUUGAUAUGCUUUUUGGACUGACAUAGAACUAUAUAUUAUGCGGGAAUUCAUGAUUUUCUAUCAGAAGGUUAACAGAACUACAUUUGUACCAAAUCCUCUAAAGCUAAAUAAAGCAAUGUUGAAAAAGAAAAGGAAUAAAUCCAUCAAGAGAAUAAGAACAACAUGCUGGAGCAAAAUUUCUUCAGGUUGAUUAGGGAUGUGAGCUCUCUAAGACUUGUAUUAUUCCAAUACAAUGAAACUUUUCCUCUUCGCCUAUAGAUAUAAGCAUAGCAGAGUCACGUAAAACACUAUGUAGUAGAUGUGUGAUUCUUUUUCUUUAAGCUUGUUACGAUUAUUCUCUUUAUCUGAUUGUGGGAUCGAUCCUUAACAUUCACAAUGCAAGAAGUGCUGAAAACAUUUUUUUUCAUGUUUCUGAUCUUAAUAUUUUAAUGAUAAUGCCAUUUAUGGCUUCAAACACAGCUUCGAGACAAGAGAAUAGGUUGAAGCAGAUGGGUGCAGCGUUCUUACAUUGAAAGGCUGAAGAUGAAGCCACUAAUUGUUGAUAUAUCACUUUCCUGUUAAUAAAAUUUCAGCUUGGUCCAACUAUAAGAUAAAAAAAAUAUGCUUGGAACACUUGAAAACCUAAAAAAAACUAAAAAUAAGAAAAUAAUACAAUAAAAAUUAAUUGUGAUAAUAACAAUAAAGAUAAUGCUCCAUGUCUAAAACAUUGUAAUUAAGGAUUCCAUGUAAAACCACCACCCAAGGUCUCAGGUUCAGCAAUUGAUGAACCUAGCAAAUGUUUAAACAAGUUUUAAGGGAGAAAAGAAGAUUUAUCAAGGAAGAAAAAAAAAAGGCAAGAGAAAUUUUUAAUAAUGAACCGAAAAAAUGUUUGAAGAAGUUUCAAGGGGCAAAGAAGAUUUAUCACGAAAAAAUAUCAAGAGAAUUAUUUAUCUAAAAAUACCUUUAAUAUUGCCUAUGUAUGAUAAUAACAUUACCAUUACAAGAUAUACUAAAACGCCUAGGAAAAACACCAUAGCCGAAUCCAUAUUAGCGAAGGUUUUUCCUUUCUUUUUUGCCUUUGAACUUUUUUUUUAUUAUUAUUAUAUUUUUCUAUACCCAAAUUUAUGACCAAUUUAUAAACGUUUGUUAAGGAAAGAAAAAUUUAACAAUUAUAGAUCAAAGUGUAAAAUAAAGAGAAAUCUCAAGACCAAUCUCAAAUUUUCUAGAAAAAGUUAUACUUAGUCCCCCACUUUCUUUUUCUUACUCUAUAGUCCCUUUAAUUUUUACAAUUUUAAUUUUGAUUCAAAAAUUUAUUUUCAUAAUAUUUCAAUCUUUGAGUUUGAGAUAAGAGAGAAAAAAACCCCUUGAAAUGGUGAAGAAAAGAAUAAGUUGGUGAAUGAUCACCUUUCAACGAUAAAAUUUGCUAUUAUUGGUGUCAGCAUGUUUUAUUUAACAAGAUGAGUUUGAUGAUGGUGGUUUUUUAUAUUUAUACAUGACUGAAAAAAUAGAUUAGGUUCCAUUUAGAUUAUUUUUUUUAAUUUGAUUGAUUUUUUUCUAUCAACAUCUGACCUUUUUUUAUCCAUUUCCAUCACUUCAAGUGUCAAAAUGUACUUGAGUAUUAUAUUCCUUCUUUAUUUCAAAUUCAAGAGUACAAUGGUUAAUUGAUAAAUUCACAUCAAAAUUUUGACAUCACUUGAAGAUUUUUUUUUCUUUGAUGAAAAUACAUUAUCAAUACCAAGAACUUAUACCUAACUCUCAAAUGUUAAUAAGAGUGAAUUUUGUUAUCAUAAUUUACUAAUGACUAGAACAGUCGAUCGGUUCUGAUUGAUCAAAUCAAUCUCUUAUAACAGAUUAACCUAAGUAAAUUUUUAGAAUUGUCUAUCUUAGAUUUUAUCAUAUGAUUUAUCAAUUCUUCAAAGUAUGCAUAGUGAAGUGUGUAAUUUAAUUUUAAUUAUGUUAUCAAGUAGGAUAUAAAGAUUUUCAUUGAACACUUGUAAUGGAUACUAAUAGAAAUCUAUAAAAUUAUAAAAAUAAUUAAAAACAAAAUCACAUAAAGCCAAUUAUUAGAAGUAUUAACUAAUUCUUUUCUAAAAUAUUCCAUGAGAGUGAUGUAUGGUAUUUUAAGUAAUUUUAAAUUAUAUAAUAAAAGAAAAUAGGAAGAAGAGAAUCAAUGACUUGAAACUCUUUACGAAGUCUUGGUAAACCAUAGAACAGGAUGGAUGGUACAACGUGGUCCAGGGGUUAACACAGAAAAAUGGUGCCGUCUUCCAUUAGCAUAGCUCUUAAAAACCAGUUUCGUAAUACUUUCUCGGCAUACUUUUCCUGCUACACGGCAGGCUAUCCCAAAAUUUCCAAAUACCUGUCUGUAGGAAAUUUCUGCCUCAAUUUCCACCAGAGUCAACCCCUUGCCAUGACCCAGUCAAGAGUCAUGUACUAUCUAACCCCUCUUCCAUUAGGCAUUUCAGUACACCCAGAACAACCACCACCAUCACCCCCUUCUAAUUCCUCCACCAAUGCACCCCCUCAGCACCGCCGCUGCCACCUCCUUCCUUUCCACCCUCUUAUCAUUCCUCCACUUAACGGCAUCAUCUCCUUCGAAUUACAUGAUUAAUCUUUCAAACUGCAACCAAAACUUCUCUUGUGGUGCCCUCACAGACAUCACCUACCCUUUCACCGGUGGCCAACGUCCACCCCACUGCGGCCCACCGGAGUUCCGGCUCAAAUGUGAUGGUGACUCAGUGACCACCCUCACAGCUAACUCACUGACUUACCGAGUCACUCAGGUUAACCAAACCAGCCAAAUUUAAGGCUCUCACGUUCAGACUUCUACGAUGAGUACCGUCCAUGCACAUACCAAUCCACCACCAGCACUUUUGAUAACGGUAGCUUCAGUCUUGUCUACCACAAUGAAAACCUUACUUUUUUUUAUGGGUGCAAGGACUUAGGUGACUCUGUCGAUAAAAAAUUUAAGCUUCCAUGUCCCAUGCCAGGAGAUUCAGAAGAAGGGUUUUUCAUGAUUGGUGAUCCUGUUUAUGGUCUUCCUUUUAAGGACAAGUGUUGGACUAGUUUUCAAGUGCCAUUUCUCCAGAGUCGGGCACAACAACUUAGGGCUAAUGGGUCAUCAUUACUUGUUGAGGUUUUGAGAGAAGGGUUUGAUGUCAGUUAUAGGAAUCCUUACAGUGCUGAUUGUCAGAAAUGUUCCAAGCAUUCUGGUAGGCAUUGUGGGUUUGAUGGUAAAGUACCUAUUUGCAUCUGUAAUGAUCACCUCUGUCCUGGUAAGUUAAAAAUCGAUGUUAAUUUUGACUAGCCAAAAUCCUCUAGUUUCCUUAAGAGUUUGGUAGCUUUCAAGAAAUACUAGUAGGCCUUCUUGUGGUAAUUGAUAUGGAGGGUUUUUUUAAUCAAAUUAUGCAAAGCUUCAAUGAUUUCAAGAAUUAAUGCUUGAAUUGCUUGAAAAAGGAAAGUUGUUUUUAAAAGUAAUUUUUACUAGAAAAUAUAUUAAAAUAAUUUUAUUUUAAAUGAGCAUAUAAAAACAUUAAAAAUAUUAAUUUAAUUUAAAAAAAACAUUUCUACAAUAAAACAAUAAACACCACCAGAAAUUCGCUAAAUACCAACGGACUUACCGACGGAAUUUUUCGGCCGAAAUCACCGACGAACAAUAUUAAAAACGUUUCUACAAUAAAAAAAAUGAAUGAAUGGAGUGACAUAAACAGUAUUCAAGAAAGAAUUGUAAAGCUGCCAUGGAAUGCUUAGCUUAAGUUUACAACAAUAUAGAUUAAAACAUUAAGGAGUUCAGAAAAUAAAGACAUUACCUAAUAUAUCACACUUAAUCUAAAAAUUAAUUCCUGAACUUUAUUGAAUUUUAUGUCUGCUGAGACUGAUUCUAUAUAUUAUUUGUGCCAUGGAAUGGUUCGCUUAAGUUUACAACAAUAUAGAUAAGACAUUAAGGAGUUCAGAAAAUAAAGACAUUACCUAAUAUAUCACACUUAAUCUCAAAAUUAAUUCCUGAACUUUAUUGAAUUUUAUGUCUAAGACUGAUUCUAUUAUUUGUUUAUUACUAAUUAAGUACGACAUCUUCCAUUGGUUGUCGUCAUCACCAUCAUCAUGAGUCAGCACAUUCCACUUCUCUGUCUUUAGGGUAAUUUCAUUUUUUUUAUUAUAGUUGCUGAUCACCAAUGAAAGUUGUAAAAUUUUCUUAUAUCAUAAACUUGCUUGAUGUACAUGUUACAGGAACAGGAUCUUCAAGGUUUGGUAAGGGUCUUAAGAUUGCUACAGGUGACUAUAAGAAUAAGAAUCCAAUAUUUUCAUUUGAUGACGAUGACGUCGAUAAUAAUGAUGAUGAUCAUUUUCUUUUACAGCCAUAUCAGCAGUUAUGGCUGCGAUAAUUGCUUUUUCUAUAUUUGCAAUUUGUUUCAGUGGAAGAGAAGGCUCAUUUAGUGGCAUUAUAGCAAUGACCUUCAAGCUGAAGAGUUCACAGAAUGUUGACAGGUUUGAAACAUUUAUGAUGGACAAUCAUUGUCUCACCCCAAGGCGUUAUUCAUAUUCAGACAUUAAGAAAAUCACCAACUCAUUCGCCAUAAACUAGGAGAGGGGGGAUUUGGUAAUGUAUACAAAGGAAAGUUAACGAACAGUCGACUUGUGGCCGUAAAAGUCCUAAAAGAAUCUAAAGGUGAUGGAGAAGAGUUCAUGAAUGAAGUUGCGAGCAUUAGCAGAACUUCCCACGUGAAUAUAGUUACACUUUUGGGUUUCUGCUAUGAGAAGACUAAAAGAGCUUUGAUUUACGAAUUCAUGACCGAGGGUUCUUUAGACAAGUUCAUAUCUUAUGAAGGAACCCCUGAUACAAAUUUUGGUUUACAAUGGGAAAGGUUUUAUGAAAUUGCAGUUGGUAUUGCUAGAGGUCUCGAGUACUUACAUAGAGGUUGUAACACUCGAAUUGUGCAUUUUGACAUAAAGCCUCACAACAUUCUUCUCGAUGAAGAUUUUUGUCCAAAGAUCUCUGAUUUUGGUCUAGCAAAGCUAUGUAAGAGUAAAGAGAGUAAGGUUUCAAUGACAGGCGCAAGAGGGACUGUCGGUUACAUAGCACCUGAAGUGUUCUGCAGAAAUUUUGGAGGAGUAUCUUUCAAGUCUGAUGUGUAUAGCUAUGGAAUGAUGGUUCUAGAAAUGGUCGGAGAAAGAAAAAAAAAUUAUACUGGAUCUUCGGAAACCAGUGAAAUGUAUUUCCCUGAUUGGUUUUACAAGUAUCUUGAACCGGGAGAGAUUACAUUACUUCAUGAGGGUAUAUCAGAAGAGGAAGAAGAGAUUAUAAAAAAAAUGAUUUUAAUAGGUUUGUGGUGCAUCCAAACAAUUCCAUCGGAUAGACCAUCAAUGACAAAGGUGGUAGAGAUGUUUGAAAGUAGUCUUCACUCUUUGCAAAUUCCACUAAAACCUUUACUUUCUUCACCUAAAAGGUCUACUCCAGAUCACUCUUCCACUAUAUCAUCAAUGCCAAGUGUGUCCUCACAGGGGGGUGGAGUGAACAAAUUGUCAAUUGAUGAAAGUGACUUAGAAUUAGAGAUCUCAAUACUUUGUGAAGCCAGAUGAAGAUAUAAAAAACCUUAUUUCAUGUCCUUCAUCUAAGAGCUGCUUCUAGGCUGAAUGGUUCUUUGAUAUAGCUUACCAGAGGAUACUCACACAGGAUUGGUAAGAGACACUAUCGUCUCUCUCCAUCUCUUUUUUUCACCACUGAUGCAUACCAAUUAUAAUAUGUACUUCAUGUUCAAUCUGCUGAAAUUGUAGAACGUUUUGUUCCUGCUUGCAUCUUAUUGUUUAUGAUUUCAAAAGUUAGAGGUUCAACUUUAUCAUGCCUAUUGUUAAUGUCAUCUGUCCUGCAUUGGAACUUUUUUAAUGGACUUUCAUAUUUUUCUUACUCUGUUUAUUUGAGAAAUAUAUUUCCCGGCUUGGUUUUAUAAGCAUCUUGAACCAAGAGAGCUAACAAGACCUCAAGAGAGUAUGAUAGAAGAUGAAGAAGAGACUGUAAAGAAGUCCACUAUGGGACGAGGAAAAGAUGAGAAGAUGAUCUUUGUGGGUUUGUGGCGCAUUCAAACAAAUCCUUCAGAUAGAGCAUCAACGACAGGAUGUGGAUAAUGUAUGUUAAUUGCAAGCACGCAGCACUGAUAGGAAACACCAUCCUCUCUGCCUCUAGUUUUUGUCAAUGGUAAUAUGUGUUAAUUAUGAUUUGUACUUGAUGCUCAGAACUGUAGAAUUAAUCUAUCAUCCGUCACUAUUAAACAAGUUCAAAAUUUAGAAGAAAAAAUUGCAGGUUAAGGUAUAUCAUAACUUGUGGUUAAUUGAUAUCUUAGGGAGAUGAUGAUUCCUUGUGUCAAUUUCAGACGCAUCUUCGCUACCUAUCUACUCUGUAUUUGCUAGGGUAAGGGUCUUAUUGGAUCACUACUGAGCUCCCAUAGUCUCCUUCAUGUGCUGUAAAGCUCUUCCUGUUAUUUUGGUAAGGUCCAGGAGUGCUUCUUUCUUUCAUGUUGAAGGCAUUUUGACCAUUUUAAAUUUGGCAGAAUAUGAAAUUGCUUACUCAGCAGAGCUUGACUAUGAGUUUAUUUGAAAUGCUUUCAACAUUCCCUAUCACCAAUCAACAUAACUCAUGUUCGUAUGUAGGAAUCUUAGGAGCACCCUCUUCUUAAAGCUCAUAUAAGUUUUUCAACGUUCUAUGAUCCCCCAAGUUCUGAAAAUCCCCUCCUUCAGAUUUCUGCUAAUUGGACUGAAAUAAUUCUAACCAUUAAAAAUUAAGGACCAAAAUGAAAUUUUAUAAGUAAUUUUGGGACAUCUAUGAGUUUUACCCAUCAAUUGAUUAUUAUCUUGUGUAAUUGAGGAGCUUGUGUAUACUUCUUUAAAAAAAAAUCAGAUAAGAAGGAAAUACUUAUCUAGAUAUAGGUUUGAUUAAGAAAAAGAGAUGUUAAUCAAAGAGGUAAUUAUAGGCCAGCAACUAGAAUUCCAGAAGUUCUUUCUAGUUAUAAGAAGAAGAAGAAAAAGCAAGGAAUGAUGGGAAACCAGUGCUUGUGAGUUGUCGUACAUGGAUGUGUAGUGUUGAGGGUUCAAGGAGUCACUAUCUAGUUAUUUAGUUUAGAAUUGCUAGGAAACCUGGUUAUAUUGGUUUUAUCAUAAAUUCAAGGGUAAGUGACUGGUUGUGGUUAGAGAAGGUAUUAACACACUUUACCUAAGGUAAGCUGCUUUGUGUGGUUUUGAUGGAUUUUAAAAGUUUUUAUAGGUUCCUAACCUACAAUCAAUUUAUGGAUUAAGAUGAAGGCAAAUGGGUUUUCUACCACUCGUGGGUCGUAGUGAGAAAAACUUUCAAUUAAAAUAAGUAAAUGUUUAGUAUAAUUUUGAGAAUUUUCUAGUUAAUUUCUAAUAUUUAAAUACCAAUCUAGUUGUAGGUCCAACAUUUAUACCAGAAUAUUUACCAUUAAUUUUCAUAAAUUAUAAUUUUAUCGGUUAUAAAAAAAUUGAUUAAAUUCUCAUGAAUUCAAUAAAUUGAUUUAUUAAAUCCAAAAUGUAAGCAAUAUAUAUAUUAUUUUUGUAUGUAAAUACUAAAACACCAAGUAUUUUAUUUUUUAAAGCAAAAUAUGAUUUUUUAUAUUUUUGAGAGACUUCAUCAUUUGCAAAUUAAAUAAAGAUUGUAUUUUUCAAAGAUAAAUUUUUUGUUAUUGUUUUUGUGGAAGGAAAACAAUCCAUUUAAUACCAAAAAAGCACCUCACGUGUAGGUCAAAAUUCUAAACAUUAAAUAUGUGAGGGUAAAAAAAGUGAGGAAAUCAAAAUUGAUUCAAAAAUUGUCUUCCAAACAUUAAGAAAAUAUCACCAACUGAUGAAAGACGUAUUUGGCAAGACAAAAAUAAAAUAUUUUUUAUCAAGACUAUUUUGACCUCAAUAUCAAUCCAAAACAAAUUAUCGUUUACCAACUCAAAACCAAACAACACCAAACAUCCACACAUAUUUUAUUAAUGUCACAAACUUAUAUUCAAAUUCCAUGCUAAUUCAAAUAAAGUAACAUCAAUCCAAGCAUAAAUCAUGCAUCAAUAUUUAACAUCUUCAAACCCAAACCCAAAAAUAGGAAACCUAUAAUUCAACACAAUUAAUCAAGUUAUAUCGAGAUCCAAACACAAAUCAAACCAUGUUAACAAUCUAAAUAUUAUACAAAAUAAUAAGCUUUUUACUCCAAAACUUCACAAUUUAUCGCAAUUUUGUCUAAAAAUUGUUUGAGUUCAUGAAUCAACCUUCCGGGAUGAUUGGAAUGGCCAGGGUAUAAUUCUAUGGACACUAGAAGGCCGUUGGGACAAUGGCGGUGCAUGGAUUUAUGCACUACCACUAGAGAAGCGUGGAGUCACUCUCUAGUGACCCGAACAAAUAUAGACCCACUAGAUCGGGUAGAUCAUCAACCCCCUAUUUUUCUUUUUCUUUUUUGCCAAAAGUGAGGCAAACAGAGAUCUAAGGAGGGGAAUCCAACCAUAUUAAGCUUUGGCUCCCUUCUCCGCUCUUUUCUCUUUACAUGACUGCUUUCCUCUCUUGGUCCUAUCGUAGAUGCGAUCGGCAGCAUGCAUAGAGGAGGAUAUAUAAAAGGAAAGAGAGAGAUCCUAAACAACUCUAGAGAAUGAAGCAUCCAUGGAAGAGGAAGCGUGGAGAAAUCCUGCUCACUUCAUAAGAGUUCUUCUUUCUAUUAUUUUUCUCUUCAUUAUGUUUAAAUUUAGUGAGUUUUUUUGUUUGUUUAGAUUAAUAAUGAACUAAUUUUUUUAUUAUAGGGCUAGGAUAUAAUCUUUGAAUUCAUGACAUGAGUUGAAUGUUGUUGAAUUACAUAUAUUUUCUUGAUUUUAAUUUGAUGAUUUUGGUUUUCAUCCUUGUAAUUUAUUGGCUAUGAAUUGCAUAUUUAAGGUGUUCAAAGAAGUAACAGAAAGUUAAAGUUCAAUAUCAAUUCAUGAAUUCAUCAAACCUUGGUAGUAUAGUUUAGAAGUAAAUACACAUUAUUAUGACUUAUAUUCAAGAGUUCCACAAAAAUUAAUGAAUUUAUAUUAAUUUCUAUGAUAACGAAAGUAUAUAUAAGAUUAAUAUAGAUAUAAUUGUUAUAUCUUGAAAAAGGAUGUCAUAUACAAAAGGAAAUUCAGUCAUUGCAAUUAGCAAAAUAUUAGUCCAAGAAACUAUAUUUAAACUCAUGGAAAGAAUUCUUUUUGAUGAAACCCUACACCUUAGAAACCUUUGUCUUUGAUUCUAAUGCUCUGUUUGUUUCAAGGAAAAUGAAUUCUUGGAAUUCGUUUUCCUUACUUUCCCAUGUUUGGUAACAAUAUAGAAAAGUAAGUCAAUGGAAACUUAAUUCCGGUCAACAUAAAACAACUGCUUUAUCAAAGGAAAGUGUUUUCCAUUUGAUAAAGAAAGGAAAACACUUUCCUUUUUUUAUUACACCCAUUUUCAGAAAUCACGAUCUCUCUCUUUCUCUUUAAAAAUGAUUGGAAGCAGGAACAAUUACAGAAGCAUUUCUCUAGACAAUUGAAGCAUUUCACUUGAACAAUAUUUCAAGUAUUUUUUUUCUCUGUUAUUUUCUUUAUGUUUUUAUCUUCUUUCGUAGAUCUGUAAAAUUUAUUCCAUAAAUCCAUUUCCCUAUUCUUGAUAAAUCUACUACCUAACAUAUGUUUUCCAUAACAUUUUCAUAACACAGCUAAAAUUCAUCAAGCAAGCCACAAAAAACACAAUUUUUCCAUGACAGUUUUCUUCUUCAUCACACACAUUUAGCAUUUUUAUUCUGAACAAACAAACCAAAUCAAGUGCACAAAAUCAAGUGCAGAGAAAGGCACUUGAAAAUCCCCAAACUGUGUUAAUCAAUCUUCCCCAGCAAAAAGCAUCCCCUCCCUGUUACCUCAUCCCUGGAUCCAGCCACCAUAUCCCGGGUGGAAGCUGUCUCUUUUUUUUUUAACAGUAGCCGGGGGAGAGAGGGAGGAGAACUGGGAAGGAGGAGCCAUGUUGCCCCUUGAAUCUUUGAUCUUUGUCCAGCUUCUUUGUCUUGAAUAUUUGCUUCUUUAUGCACAAAUGGCUAGAGAAAUAGAGAGGGAACACGGGGAAACCGAUAGGGAAUAGAGGCAUGAGAGAAACCGAGAGGGAGAGGGAACAGGGAACAAGGAACAGGGGAAGGGGAAUGAGAGAAACCGAGAGGGGAAUCGACCGAGAGGGAGAGGGAACAGGGGGAAUCAAUUGAGAGGGAAAGGGUGAGGGAACAGGGAAUACGGGAAUGGGAGAGGGGAAUUGACCGAGAGGGAGAGGGCAGGGAACAGGGAACAGGGGAAUCGACCGAGAGGGAGAGGGAACAGGGAACAGGUAACAGGGGAAUGGGAGAGGGGAAUGGAAUUAUAAGCUUUUAAUUAUACUUGUGAAGUCAGGGGAAGGAAAUUUGAAGGCUGCGUGUUUGUAUAAGUGAAAAUGUGAAAUGAAAGAGAUGAUGAGAGUUUACUAGAGAAUGUGAGCUCCCAUUUUUUUCCAUGUGUUUGUGCGAGAGUUAAUGAGCAGGGUUUAAAUAAGCUUAAAGCUUGUUGUUCUGUUUUUAUUACUUGGUGAUUUAUAUAUCUCUAUAUUCAUAUGAAUGAUAUAAAUCUACUUGUUUUUAUGUAAUCAUGUGAAAUGACUACCUUAAUUAUAUAUGGUCAUAUUAUUAUUGUGAAUAAUUACACCAUUACCGUGUGAAAUAGGAUGUUUAAAUACAUGUUACAUUAAUAAGGAGAAUUAUAACAGAAUAAUAAACAUUGUUUGUCAGCUUCUUUCAGCAUAAUUUAUUGUAUUGAUUGUGGAAGUAUUUUAUAUGUUUUUUUUAAUAUUCGUUUCCCCAUAUUUUUAGGUUUUGUUAUCAGAAAACUUCACUUUCAUGUUAUGGAUAGUAAGAUAAUUCAUGCAGCAUGUAUGGGAGCAGCUGUAACUGUGAUAGCUACAGGGGUAGCUAUUGAACAAGAAAGAAAUAUAAUUUAUAUACCAAGAGAACCACGUAUAAAUGCAAUUGCUCAACGAGAAUUCUAUAUUGACAGCAUUUUGAAUCGAGGUGAUAGACAUUGCGUUGAACAAAUUCGUAUGAAACCUGUUGUCUUAUAUAGAUUGUGUGAUAUUCUCACAAGUCGUGACCUAUUACGAUCAACUCAAAAUGUGUCUAUUAGGGAGCAAGUAAUUGUGUUCUUACAAAUUGUAGGCCAAAACCAAAGAUUUCGUGUUAUUAGUGGUAUAUACUAUAGGUCUGUUGAAACUAUCCAUCGUUACUUUAGAAUUGUUUUAAAAGCAGUUCUUAAGUUAUACAAACACCUUAUUAAAGAUCCAGAGGAUACAGUUCCAGCUGAGAUAAUGAAUAAUCGAAGAUUCUAUCCUUAUUUUAAGGUAUGAAAACAAUACCAAUAUUUUUAUACAUUAAUUAAUUACAUCUAAAGAAAAGGUUAUAAAUUAUUUUUUCAUGUUUAUAUAGGAUUGUGUGGGAGCAAUUGAUGGUACCCAUGUUCCUGCAAAUGUUCCUGUUGAGAUUCAAGGAAAGUUUAGAGGUCGAAAAGAAGGAACAACACAAAAUGUUUUAGCAGCUAUAACUUUUGAUUUGAAGUUUAUAUAUGUUUUAGCUGGUGGGAAGGAAGUGCCCAUGAUUCACGGGUUUUAGGUGAUGCAUUAUCAAGACUUAAUGGUCUAAAAAUUCCAGAAGGUAUAUAAUAAAGUAUGUAUUAUAUGCAAUAAACAUAUAAAAUGUCUUGUUACAUAAAGAUAGUAAUAGGUUUUUGUUUUUUAAUUUGUAGGGAAAUAUUAUCUCGGUGAUGCUGGUUACGGUAUUCGAAAAGGAAUCAUUUCUCCUUUUCGUGGAGUUUGAUAUCACUUGAAUGAUUUUACAGAAAGUUCACCAAAAAAUGAAAAUGAGCUAUUUAAUCUUCGACACUCUUCAUUGAGAACCGUUAUUGAGCGAGGGUUUGGUAUUUUGAAGAGUUGUUUUAGAUCAAUUGAUGGAAAAUCUUUUUGGUCUUAUGAAACACAAAUAGAUGUUGUGCUUGCAUGUUGUAUUAUUCAUAAUCACAUAAUGGAAGUAGAUCCUUAUGACUUUCUUAUGGAGAAAAUAUGUUCGGAAAGUCAACCAAUUAGACGAACAAUCAACUUAAGUCAACGGGAGGAAAGGGAAGAGAAUAGGGAGUGGAUAACAAAAAGAGAAAUGAUUGCAUCAACCAUGUGGAAUGACUAUAACACUCAAAGAAACUAGUAAUUGAGUGUUAAUUAUAUGUGUUUGUUUUUAUUAUGUCUUGCUUGAGUUUGUAUUAUCUUUGUUUUAUAUAUGGAGUAGAUGUUGACUUUAUUCUAGUUUCUCUUUUAAUUAUUAAUUGUAGUUUUUAUAUGAAAUUUAUUAAAUCUAAAUAUUGUAUGAUUUUAUUUUGUAUAAAUUUAUAAUUUCCUUUUUGUAAAAAUGAGUUCCACGCAGAAUGAAAAAUGCAAGGGCAAGCACUUCACAUGGUCUAAGCCAAUGUCUCACAUCUUGCUUGAGAUGUUAGCUGAGGAGACACUUAAAGGAGACAAACCUUCUUCGACCUUUAAAGCAGAAUCUUUUGUUAAGGUGGCUACAGAAAUCAGUCAAAAGUUCAACGUCCAAUGCGAGCCUAAGCAUGUGGACAAUCAUCUCAAGACUAUGAAAAAAGAAUGGGGAAUAAUAAUCAAACUUAAAAAUAAAAGUGGCUUUGGCUGGGAUGAUUUUUUUAAGAUGAUUACAGUUUUGAAAGAUGUAUAUGAUGAAGAAGUAAAGGUAUGAUAAAUAUUAUACUCUUUGUAAUGUUUAUAUUUAUUUUUGUUUCUAAACUGCUAUACAAUGAACUAAAAAAUUGCAUAUUCUAAACUUUAUGAACAAGCACACCCCAAUCAUGACAAGUUUCUCAACAAAAAACUUGAUAUGUACGAGGCAAUGACAAUUGUUGUUGGAAAAGACAUGACAACCAGAAAUUAUGCAAAAUCAUAUGCUGAUGUCAACUUGGAAGAGAACACUGAAGAGCAUUCAAUUUCAAUUGAAAAUGAAGGUGAAUAUGAAGAAACUUAUAAGGGAAAAGAAACAUCUUCCUCUAGUACAAAAAAGAGGCAACAUAGGAAGAGAAAUCGUAUCUAUGAAGAUGAUGGUAUUGAAAAGUUAUCUAAACAGAUUAGAGAUGUAGCAUUUGCAAUUCAAAGCCUCAGCAAAAAUCAACUUGAUGUUAAUGCGCUGUAUACGAAAGUGAUGAAAAUUGAAAGCUUUGAUGAGAUCACUUUUAGGGAUGCAUUUGAUCAUUUGGUCUAAAAUGAAAUGUUGGCAAAAACAUUUAUGGCAAAAAAUGCUAAUUUGAGAAAAAUUUAGGUUCAGAAUUUUAUGAACCAACACUACUACAGGCCUGCUUGCUAAGAUAGUUUGACUAUAAUAUGUAUGUAUAUGACAUUGAAACUUAAUAUUUAUGCAUGACUAUGUUUGAUGUUAGAUAUUUAUAUUUAUUUCUUGAUGUUUAUUUGAUAUAUAUUAAAGUUAUAUUAAAGGGAUAAUUGCCUUUACCCAUAAAAAAAAAAUAUUUAUCCAAAAUACCCAUCAAAUUAUUUUUGUAUGUAUUUAUCUUUUAAAAAAUUCUUCAUACCAAAAAAAAAACAAAACCCAAAUAUAUAACUCUUACCAUAAACUAAUUUGGCUUUCUUCAUAUGAAAAAAAAAACUUUUUUUAAGCUUUUAAAAUUAAAAAAUAUAUAUAUUAAUAGGUUUUACUUGAUAAAUAUUUCACAAGUUUAUUUCUCUAUAAUAUGAUAUGACAUAUAUAGUUAUAUUUUAUAAAAUAAGCUAUGUAUGAAUAUAUAAUAUAAUAAAAAAAAUUCAUCAUUAUACUUUUUAUAUUUUAUUUUUUUAUUGUAAGUGAUUAAAUAUUUUAUAUUAAAUAUUAUAUAUAUAUUAGAUAAACUUGAAAAAAAAAAUUAAUUCAUUAAUAAAUUAUUUUUCAGUUCAUUUUCCAUAACAUAAACAAACACUGAAAAGUGUUUUCCAGUUCAUUUUUCAUAACACUGCCAAACAUCGAAAAAUACUUUUCCGGAAUUCACUUUCUCGGGAAUUCACUUUCCAAAAGGAAACAACUUUCCUGCAAAUAAACGGACCCUAAAUUAAACCAAAAGAAAUUUGCAUUCCAUUAUUCAAAUUUGAAAUCUUCUUAAAUAAUACAGAAAAUUGAUGAAUUAGUACUUAAACCACAUCCUUGUGGAUACAAUACUUGAAUUACCCUAUUCUAUAUGUCACAAUCCAUACGUUUAUUGUAAAACUCUAGGGACACAUCAAAGUGUAGUAAGAAAGAUAUUGAAUAUUCUUGUACUAGAUUAUGAAGGUUUAAUAAGCAGAAAUUAGAGUAUAACCAAUGAUUGAUGAUUUUAAAGUUGUUUUGCUUUUAGAAUAGCUUGUAUAUAACAUAUGUUUGGAUUCCCUUGUUAAUUUUGCAAUUAGACAAGCUAUAUAGAUGUUUUUAAGAAAAACUUGUCGUUUAGAAGCGUUAUAGUCUCACUAACAACUAAAACGAUCAAUCGGUUUAAAUUGGUUAUGUCAAUCAGUUGACUAAUUCUUGCAAAAUUCUCAUGUAUCCAUUAUUGAUAAAUAUAGAUCAACCGAUUCAUUUGGUUAUACCAAACGGUCAACUAGUUCAUGUAUAAUUCCAAUUAUGAUAGAUUAACCUAGGUGAAUUCUUAGAAUCGUCUAUCUUAGAUUUUAUCAUAUGAUUUAUCAAUUUUUUUAAAGUAUGCAUGGUGAAGUGUGUUAUCAAGUAGAAUAUAAAAAUUUACAUUGAGCACUUAAAAUGAAUACUAAUCUAAGUCUUCAUUUGCUUUCUUUUUUGAAAGCUUGAUUGAUUUUUUCAUAAAAUCAAUCAUGCUUGUUUUUAUACUCUUGAAUAAAAAUGUUUAAAACUUAUUCUCACCGAGGCCUAUUAUUAAACUAUUUUUAUUUUAUUGUUAUAAUUAAAAUAUAUAAAAAUAUAAAUAUUUGAUUUAAAGGUCAACAAUUAGCUUUUAAUGAAUAUGAUGAUAUGCAUUCAAAUUUAUGUAAAUAAUGCUAUUUAAUUUUUUAUUUUUGUUGGAUUGAAAUGAAGGAGAACUAUGGGGAGAUCGUUAGUAAAAUUUGAUUUUUUUGGUUGGCUUGAAAUGAUCAAGAAUUGUUUAGCAAUUAGUUAUAAACAUGAUUUUAGUGGGCUUCUUAAAAUGUAAUGAUUUUUGGUUGGCUUGAAAAUUUUCAAAUACCUGUCUGUUGGAAAUUUCUGCUUCAAUUUCCACCAGAGCCAACCCUUUGCCAUGACCCAGUCAAGAGUCAUGUACUAUCCAACCCCUCUUCCAUUAGGCCAUUACCACACUACCCUAUUUCCUUGCAGCAUUUCAGUACCGCUGCUGCCACCUCCUUCCUUUCCACCCUCUUAUUGUUCCUCCACUUAACGGCAUCAUCUCCUUCGAAUGACACGGGUAAUCUUUCAAACUGCAACCAAACAUUCUCUUGUGGUGCCCUCACAGACAUCACGUACCCUUUCACGGGUGGCCAACGUCCACCCCACUGCGGCCCACCGGAGUUCCAGCUCACAUGUUUUGAUAACUCAAUGACCACCCUCACAGCUAACUCACUGCCUCACCGAGUCACUUGGGUUGACCAAACCAGCCAAACCUUAAGGCUCUCACCUUUACACUUCUACGGUGACAAUCCAUGCACAUACCCAUUCACUAGCAGCACUUUUGAUAACGUUUUCUUCAGUCUUGGCUCCAACCAUAAAAACCUUACUUUGUUUUGUGGGUGCGAGAACUUAGGUGACUCUGUCGAUAAAAAAUUUAAGCAUUCCACCGGUUCAUUUGAUAAUACCAAACCGUCGACCGAUUCACACAUAAUCCCAAUUAUAAUAGAUUAACCUAGGUAAAUUUUUAAAAUUAUCUAUCUUAUAUUUUAUCAUAUGAUUUAUUAAUCCUUGAAAGUAUGUAUAGUAAAGUAUAUGAGUUCAUUUUAAUUACGCUAUCAAGUAAGAUGUAAAGAUUUACAUUAAGCAAUUAGAAUGAAUAUUAAUCUAAGUCUUCUUUUGCUUCCUGCUUUGACGCCUUGAUUUAUUUGUUCAUGAAAUCCAUCAUGCUUGUUGAUAUAUUCUUAAAUAAAUAUAUUUAAAACUUAUUGUCAACGAAAUAUAUUAAUAACUCAUUUUUUUUUUUUAUUAUUAAAAUAUAUAAAGAUAUAAAUAUUUGAUUUAAAGGUCAUGAACAAUUAGCUUAUGAUGAAAACGACGAUAUUAUUUAAAAUUUGUGUAUUUAAUGCGAUUCAAUUUUUUUAUUUUUGUUGGGUUGAAAUGGAGGGGAACUAUGGAGAAAUCUUUUGUAUAAUUUGAUGUUUUUGGUAUAUAAAUCAACUUCAAUUUGAUGUUUCAAAUUUUAUUGUUUACAUGUUUUUUUUAUAUUUUUGAUGCUUGAACAAUAAGUUAUAAACAUGAUUUUUGUGGGUUUUUUAAAAUGUAAUGACUUGGUGCAACAGUAAGAUUGUGAUUUUUUCAAGAAAGUUGUCAAUGGUAAAAUUAUUUUUUUUGUGUUGUUUUUUGUUUUCCAUGGCUCUUUAAUCAUUAAAAUUAUUAUAAUGGCAAACAUGGAAAUAAUAACAAAAUUUUUGUUGAUUUUUAUUUUGGUGCCAAAAUAAAGAACGUGAAGUGUAUUGAAGUUAUUAAAGCUCCUGAGGGAAAAAGUACUUUACUAAACUUUGAAGAAAAAGUGAAAAACGAAAAGUAAUUAUCCUUUUUUAUAUAUAUAAAGCUAAUUAUUAGUAUUUGUGUUCAACCUUAUUUCUAAUUAAGAAAGAUACUAAAACAGUAAUAUAAUUCUUAAGAAAUAGGUUGAUUUCAUUCAUUUAUAAAUUUAUCUACCGUAAUACCAUAUAUAAUAUAAGACUUUACUUUCACUAUUAAAAUUAUAAAAAUGGUUAAAAAGAAGUCAGAUAAAGCAAAUGAUUCAAAUUUAAAAAGCAAUUAAAUCACAUCAAGAUUUAGAAGUAUUAACUAAUUCUUUUCUAAAAUAUUCCAUGAGAGUGAUGUAUGGUAUUUUAAGUAAUUUUAAAUUAUAUAAUAAAAGAAAAUAGGAAGAAGAGAAUCAAUGACUUGAAAGUUUUUUUACGAAGUCUUGGUAAACCAUGGAACAGGAUCGAUGGUACAACGUGGUCCAGGGGUUAACACAGAAAAACGAUGCCAUUUCCCAUUAGCAUACUUUUCCUGCUAUCCCAAAAUUUUCAAUACCUGUCUAUAGGAAAUUUCUGCUUCAAUUUCCUCUUGACUGACUUAAACAACUUUUCAGCCAACGUACCAGAGCCACCCAACCCAUUGCCAUAACCCAGUCAGGAGUCAUGUACUAUCUAACCCCUCUUCCAUUAGGCCAUUACCACACUACCCUCUUUCCUUGCAGCAUUCCACACCCAGAACAACCACCACCAUCAUCCCCUUCUAAUUCCUCCACCAAUGCACCCCCUCAGCACCGCUGCUGCCACCUCCUUCCUUUCCACCCUCUUAUUGUUCCUCCACUUAACGGCAUCAUCUCCUUCGAAUUACAUGAUUGAUCUUCCAAACUGCAACCAAAACUUCUCUUGUGGUGACCUCACAAACAUCAAUUACCCUUUCCCCAGUGGCCAACUUCCACCCGACUGCGGCCCACAGGAGUUCAAUUUCACAUGUCAUGGUGACAAAGUGACCACCCUCAUAGUUAAAUCACUGCCUUACCGAAUCAAUCGGGUUGACCACACCAGCCAUACCUUAAGGCUCUCACGUUCAGACUUCUACGAUGACUUUCCAUGCCCCCACCUAUCCAGUAACACCACUUUUGAUAACGUUACCUUCAGCCUUGCCUCCGACCAUGAAACCCUUACUUUCUUUUAUGGGUGCACGGACUUAGGUGGCUCUGUCAAGGAAAACUCUAAGUUCUCAUGUCCCAUGCCAGGAUAUUUAGAAGAAGGGUUUUUCAAGGUUGGUGAUCAUCCUUAUGUGGAUCGGUGUCCGACUAGUUUUCAAGUGCCAUUUCUCCGGAGGUGGAAACAACAACUUGAGGCUGAAGGGUCAUCAUUACUUGGUAAGGUUUUGAAAGAAGGGUUUGAUGUACGUUAUAGUGAUCCUUACAGUGCUGAUUGUCAGAAGUGUUCCAAGCAUUCUGGUAGGCAAUGUGGGUUUGAUGGUAUUUGCAUCUGUAAUGAUCAGCUCUGUCCUGGUAAGUUAAAAUCGACAUUAAUUUUGACUAGCCAAAAUCUUCUAGUUUCCUUACGAGUUUGAUAGCUUUCAAGACAAGCUAGGCCUUCUUGUGGUAAUUGAUAUGGAGGGUUUUUUUUAUCAAAUUAUACAAAGCUUCAAUGAUUUCAAGAAUUAAUGCUUGAAUUGCUUGCAAGGCUCACAAGUCCAGUAGCUUCAUUUACUGGUAGUGAAUAAUAAAUUAUAGCAUUCAUUCAAUGUUCAUUGUUAAGAGGUUCAAUGUUCAAAAUUAUGCUUCUUUGCUUGAGUCUGUGUUCGGUUCUAUGGGGUUAUCAUUUGAACUCAACAAUAUGAUCCAUUUCUUCUUCAUCAGAUGUUCUAUGGGGUUAUCAUGAACUUGGUCUUGGUCUUGGUCUUGCUAUUGUGAAAUUAUACUUUAGGCAUCAGCUUUUUACUGUUUAAAAAUUUACAGUGAAAUGCUGAUUUUAUCUCUUAAUCACAAAGUAACAUGUCUUGGAUUUAGAGGUAUAAAGAUAUUUUCCAAACAGCCCCUAGAAAAAAAGCUUUUCCAUGUUGGAAAAGGUUUAGAAUGGUAUUGUCGCAAAGUCACCUGUUUCAUAUUGGUUAAGGAAAAGAUUUAUUUCGUUAGAUUACAAGUGGAAAUCAAAUAUUAUCAUUACUGUUGAUUUACAAAUUAAUGAAUUUGAGAGAAUACUAAGACAAAAAAUUAGAUAUGAAAAUAUAUAGUUAUGAAAAGAUAAGGAGAUCGAGGAGAGUACUAAUUUUUCAGCUUCAGUCUUUCGGUAUUAACUUGGAGAAAGUACAAGUACACUGCUAUUUUUCCCCCCUCAUGCAUGGAUGUAGAUCUUGACAUGGAAGUCACGGUGAUUUCUAAAUUAUACUAUGGAGAUAUUGUAAAAAAUUACGAUGUUCCUGCUUCUAACACUCCAAGACCAUAGAAGAGUGCAAGUGUCGUCGAACAUCUUUAUCAAAAGAAGAUGAUUUGAGUGUAGUUUUCAGUGUCUCUACUACCACAUCAGAACUUCUUUCUGUUAUAAAAAAUUAAAAAAAAUCGAGGCAAAAGACACUAAAAAUUUAUUACUAUUUUUUUAAUGAUUGACAAAGUCAACGCUAUACACUGUAAAAUUUCAUUUAGGGUAAUUUCAUUUUUUUAUUAUAGUUGCUGAUCACCCACGAAAGUUGUAAAAUUUUCUUAUAUCAGAAACUUACUUGAUGUUCAUGUUACAGGAACAGGAUCUUCAAGGUUUGGUAAGGGUCUUAAGAUUGUUACAGGUGAAUAUAAGAAUAAGAAUCCAAUAUUUUCAUUUGAUGACGAUGACGUCGAUAAUAAUGAUGAUGAUUAUUUUCUUUUACAGCCAUAUCAGCAGCUACAGCAGCGAUAAUUGCUUUUGCUAUAAUUGCAAUUUGUUUCCGUGGAAGAGAAGGCUCAUUUAGUGGCAAUAUAGCAAUGACCUUCAAGCUGAAGAGUUCACAGAAUGUUGACAGGUUUGAAACAUUUAUGAUGGACUAUCAUUGUCUCGCCCCAAGGCGUUAUUCAUAUUCAGACAUUAAGAAAAUCACCAACUCAUUCACCAAUAAACUAGGUGAGGGGGGAUUUGGUAAUGUAUACAAAGGAAAGUUAACGGACGGUCGACUUGUGGCCGUAAAAGUCCUGAAAGAAUCCAAAGGUGAUGGAGAAGAGUUCAUGAAUGAAGUUGCGAGCAUCAGCAGAACUUCCCACGUGAAUAUAGUUACACUUUUGGGUUUCUGCUAUGAAAAGACUAAAAGAGCUUUGAUCUACGAAUUCAUGACCAAGGGUUCUUUAGACAAGUUCAUAUCUUUUGAAGGAACCCCAUAUACAAAUUUUGGUUUACAAUGGGAAAGGUUUUAUGAAAUUGCAGUUGGUAUUGCUAGAGGUCUCGAGUACUUACAUAGAGGUUGUAACACUCGAAUUGUGCAUUUUGACAUAAAGCCUCACAACAUUCUUCUCGAUGAAGAUUUUUGCCCAAAGAUCUCUGAUUUUGGUCUGGCAAAGCUAUGCAAGAGUAAAGAGAGUAAGGUUUCAAUGACAGGCGCAAGAGGGACUGUCGGUUACAUAGCACCUGAAGUGUUCUGCAGGAAUUUUGGAGGAGUAUCUUACAAGUCUGAUGUGUAUAGCUAUGGAAUGAUGGUUCUAGAAAUGGUCGGAGAAAGAAAAAAAAAUUAUACUGGAUCUUCGGAAACCAGUGAAAUGUAUUUCCCUGAUUGGUUUUACAAGUAUCUUGAACCGGGAGAGAUUACAUUACUUCAUGAGGGUAUAUCAGAAGAGGAAGAAGAGAUUAUAAAAAAAAUGAUUUUAAUAGGUUUGUGGUGCAUCCAAACAAUUCCAUCAGAUAGACCAUCAAUGACAAAGUGGUAGAGAUGUUUGAAGGUAGUCUUCACUCUUUGCAAAUUCCACUAAAACCUUUACUUUCUUCACCUAAAAGGUCUGCUCCAGAUCACUCUUCCAUUAUACCAUCAAUGCCAAGUGUGUCGUCACAGGGGGUGGAGUGAACAAAUUGUUAGUUGAUGAAAGUGACUUGGAACUAGAGAUUUCAACACUUUGGAACUAAAGAUAUAAAAAACCUUAUUUCAUGUCCUUCAUCUAAGAGCUGCUUUCAGGCUGAAUGGUUCCUUGACCGGUGGAUACUCGUACAGGAUUGGUAAGAGACAUUGUCGUCUCUCUCCAUCUAUUUUUUUCACCACUGAUGCAUACAAAUUAUAAUAUGUACUUCAUGUUCAAUCUACUGAAAGUGUAGAACGUUAUGUUCGUGCUUGCCUCUUAUUGUUUAUGAUUUCAAGAGUUAGACAAUAAGUGAGGUUCAACUUUAUCAUGCCUAUGGUUAAUGUCAUCUGUCCUGCAUUGCAACUUUCUUGGUGGACUUUCAUAUUUUUCUUACUCUGUUUAUUUGAGAAAUAUAUUUCCCGGCUUGGUUUUAUAAGCAUCUUGAACCAAGAGAGCUAACAAGACCUCAAGAGAGUAUGAUAGAAGAUGAAGAAGAGACUGUAAAGAAGUCCACUAUGGGACGAGGAAAAGAUGAGAAGAUGAUCUUUGUGGGUUUGUGGCGCAUUCAAACAAAUCCUUCAGAUAGAGCAUCAACGACAGGAUAUGUGGUAAUGUAUGUUAAUUGCAAGCACGCAGCACUGAUAGGAAACACCAUCCUCUCUGCCUCUAGUUUUUGUCAAUGGUAAUAUGUGUUAAUUAUGAUUUGUACUUGAUGCUCAGAACUGUAGAAUUAAUCUAUCAUCCGUCACUAUUAAACAAGUUUAAAAUUUAGAUGAAAAAAUUGCAGGUUAAGGUAUAUCAUCACUUGUGGUUAAUUGAUAUCUUAGGGAGAUGAUGAUUCCUUGUGUCAAUUUCAUACGCAUCUUCGCUACCUAUCUACUCUGUAUUUUGCUAGGGUAAGGGUCUUAUUGGAUCACUACUGAGCUCCCAUAGUCUCCUUCAUGUGCUGUAAAGCUCUUCCUGUUAUUUUGGUAAGGUCCAGGAGUGCUUCUUUCUUUCAUGCUGAAGGCAUUUUGACCAUUUUAAAUAUGGCAGAAUAUGAAAUUGCUUACUCAGCAGAGCUUGACUAUGAGUUUAUUUGAAAUGCUUUCAGCAUUCCAUAUCACCAAUCAACAUAACUCAUGUUCAUAUGUAGAAAUCUUAGGAGCACCCUCUUCUUAAAGCUUGUCGUACCCUCUUGAGAGCUUGACGUCGAGGCGACCCUUCCUGGUAGCAGGGAUUGAUGUUGGGGUCUUUAUUUUGUAGAAAAGGAGUCGCCACCUAGUAUUAUGGUUACUAGAAAACCUAACUGGUCUUUCAGAGAUUCUAAGGCAAGGGACUGGUUGCGUAAAGGAAAGGUUUUAGCACCCCUAGUACGCCCAACCUAAGAUAGGCUGCUUGGUAUUUAGUUUGCCUAUAAUUUCUAUAUUGUUGGUACUCUCAUUAGUUUCCUAGGAUACAUUUGUUAUGAUGUAUGAACUUGGGUUCAAAGUCUAAGGGAAAGAACUCUUGGCCAAUAUGGAUCAUACCUUUAGGUAUGCCUAUAGACUGCCAAAGAGAAAUGGUGCUCAUAAAGUCUAUGCUUGAUUUGAGAUAAAUUCGAGAUUUAUGAAUUUAGAGGCAACUAAGAUAAAAAUCUAAGGAGAUUUAAUGUGCUUAAGAGCUUAUUUUUGCCUUAGUAUUUCAAGUGUUCGCGACUCGUAAAUCGCAAGAGAAAAAAAGAAAAAAAGUUUAGAAAUCUAAGGAAAUUCAAGGUGCUUUAAAAGCUCAUUUUUGCCUUAGUAUUUCAAAUUUUUAUGACUCUUAAAUUGUGGAAUCAAAAUUUGAAAUUUCCCCAAUUAUAAUCGAGGCUUCUUUCAGGGAUAAGCAAUUAAAUUGUUCUAAACAAAAUUUUAGGCAUAAAUCUACCCUUCCGUUAAAAAUAAACAAGUUGUAUUCCUAUUAACAAUAUUUUGGACAUUUAUCUUUCAUAGGUUUAUUUGCCUUUGUGUUAUUAAGGGAUAAUGACUUUGUUGUUCUUGAAAAUAUUUUGAUAUUUACAACUUGGGGUUUCAUUAUCUAAAAUAUUAAUAGUGAACAAUGACAAAUUAUUCCCAAUAAUAUUUUGAAUAUUAACCGCUUUUGGGGUUUCUUUAUCCAAAUAUUUGUGUUGAAUAAUAACGAAUUAUUCUUAAUAAUUUUUUGGAUAUUAACUCCUUUGUGGUUUCUUUAUCCAAAUAUUAAUAAUGAAUAAUAACAAAUUAUUCCUAAUAAUAUUUUGGAUAUUUACCCAUUUUGAAAUUUUUUUAUCCAAAUAUUAAUAUUGAAUAAAAACGAAUUACUAAAAAUAAGAUUUUUGGCCAACACCCUUUGGAAUUUACGAACAUGUUGUAAAAUCCAAGAUACAAGUAAAAUCUUUAUGCAAGGAAAUAUUUUUUAUAUUUUUUUUAUUAAAAGCACUAUUUAUCACAAACAUUAAAUGCAAACGUCACAGCUGAAGCUAGCAAAAAUCACAAGAACGAAUUCGUCAUAUGGGGGGACCAAAGUCCUGAUUGAACUCAAAACAACUGUUAAUUGCAACAAUUAAACACAGGCAUCAUAGCUAAAGUUAUUAAUCCGGCACCAAAAUAAACUUGUCACGUGGGGGGUCGAAAUUCUGAAAGCAAUAUUUUAAACCCAAAAUCAUAGGCAGUAUGACUCAUGACCUGUCUUCUUUUACCAAUAUAGGAACACUGCCAUCUAAUUUCAUGCGAGAAAAACUGUCAUACCAGUUUCAAUGCAAAAGGAACGAACUUUGAAGAGCAUGAUUUCAUACCACCUACAUCACGGACUAAAUCCCAAAACAACGUAGACAGUUAUUUCAUUUCACCGAGCAAGACAGCAAACAUGAGCCUUUGAACUUGGUCAAAAGAUUACUUCCAACGCAAACGCCAGAAGGGCCUCCCUCCUGUUUCAUUUUCUCCUCUGGACAAACAAAUUUUAGGAGCAAAACACAUCCCUAACAGAAAUUCUAAAACAGAGAAACCCGAGAACAAGGAGAGGAAGGAUAGUGAGGACCUUAAGGCUCCCGAUUCCUCAACAACAAAAGGGAAAGAAAGGAACCAACUCUUAAUCUAAACACCUAUUUGCUCACAACUUAUGGGAGAAAAUGCAGGCAAACGCGCCACUUUGUGACCCAAAAAAAAAAAAGAACUCUAAUGUCUAAAAUAAAAACAUAAAUCAGCAACUCUGAACAUAAGCCUUUUUUACUCACAGCCACGGCAGAAGAGGUAGGCCAGCGGCACAACCAUGUGGCCAAAACAGAACUCUAAUGUCUAAAAUAAAAACGGGAACCAGCAACUCUUCAUAAGCUUUUGUUUACUCACAGCCAUGGCAGCAAAGGUAGGCCAGCGGCACAACCAUGUGGCCAAAACAGAACUCUAAUGUCUAAAACAAACGGCAGGAACAAGUUUUUUUUUAUUAAAAAAGGAACAACAGACAUCAAACUACACAUAUGAAAAAGGAAUAAAAGAAAGGGCAGCGACUCAUACCUGCUGAUAUAGCUUGCAGACGAUGAAGUGUAGAAGGAUGAAACAGCCUUUUCUUUGCUGACACUGAAGACCAAAGAAAGCCUCCCCUUGCUGUCGUUAGGCUUCUUUAAAACCCUUUUAGAGUUUUGUGAAAUCCUUUUCGGCAAGGUAGGAUGAGCUGAAAGUGAUCUUCCCUCGUCCUUAAACUGAUUUUCUGCUUCUCCGCUGAACCUUAUGUUAGCUCUCGGUUUUCUAACUCUUCUCUCCCCUUUUUCUUUUUUCUCUUACAACGCAGUCUAUUAUAUGUGCAAGAACUGAAGACCACCCUCACAUUCUCUCAUCUCCACCGUAUGUCUUAGGGAAACAAUCCCAGCCCUUAGAUGAUGAUGAGGCUCCUCUUUGCGUCUCCUUUCACAGCUGGCACAGUGAGGUGCAACGGUUUCCCUUGUGAAAUCCAGAUUGCAGCUAAGGACAUGGCGUGAAGAGGGGUGUUGUCCUGCACACACCAGGUUGCAGGGGUUGCAAGGACGAGAGAUUUCAAAAACUAGCAGGAAAUGGUUGCAGAGGAGGGAAUGGAAUGCAGACGGGGUGGGAUACAGUACCAUGCUAAUUAUAUUUUUAAGAUGAGGUUGUUCUCAUAAGACACCGUCUAGCUAAAGAAGUGAAUUAGUGUAAAAAAGACAGACGGUGUCGUUUAGAAAGGCAGCAGGAAUGUAACCCAUCGUGGCAUAAUUUCUGUCAUUUUCUAAUCCUAUCCCUGUUUUUUCUAUUUCUUCCCAAAACCCAGCUGAGCUUCUUCCAAUCUUUAUCAGCAAUUAACUCCCUUAUUUCAGUUUUUUUUUUUCAAUUCAGUCCUGCAAACUUGGGGGGCAAAAUCCUUCUUGUGGCAGAAUUUUGCGGCAGAAUUUUUCGGGAGAAUUUUGCGGCAGAAAAGUCUUGCGGAAAAAAAGUUUUGCGGCAGAAUUUUCACUUCCUUAUUAGGUAUUCAGACGUGAAUAUCUUGAGCUUCUGAUAUUAAAAUCGAGCGAUUCAAACACUCAAAUUCAUCUACGCUUAUAGGAAUACACUUUCAUGAAGGAUUAAGAAUGAGAAAAAUUCAUUUUGAAGUACAGAAAUUGGCUGCAACUUGGUUGGUAAAAAAGGAUCUCCUAAUCUAAAUCAAGAAACUGACGAUGCCAAGCAUCCUACUUUGACUGAGAGUCUUCCAUAAAAAUAGCAAGCCUUAGGACCCAAUAAAAGUGUAGGUCAAUUUUUCAACAUGUCAUGAGUGACAAAAUAUAGCCGGGAUGGUUGAAUAUUACAUGGAACCAGAUCAGAAUCAAAACCUAAGCUGGAACAAAAAUUGCGACAACGGCAGAGCCAGUUUUUUAGUGCAGCUUCUGAGGGAUUUAUCUAACCUUAGAAACCAGACAACAAAGGGAUAAAUUUAGCAUUUUAAAGACUCCUAAUUAGCCUAAGAAUCCUGACAAUUUCGACAGCAAAGGGGAAGGAUCAGGAGAGCAGAUGCCAGCUGAAACAUGGUCCGAAAAAAAUUUCAUUCUCCUUUGUUUUUGUCAAUCUCCCAACAACCCUGAACUAAAUUCCUAAUUAGCCUAAACUCCUGAACUAUACACCAUCUCUAUUAACACGUAUGGCUAAAAAAUGAGUAACAAUAGAUGCCCCCUCUUUACGAAACUUGCGAAGCUAAAACUUGAGUAGCAAGUUUUGUAAAGAUAAAAAAUGAUUAUUAAAGCUUCAAAACUUGAUGCCUUUUUAAGGACGGUCUCAUUAUCCAGUGAUCUACUUGUUUUAGAACCCUCCACAUUUUUCUAUGGAACGUCGCAAUAUCAAGUGACCUACCUAUUUUGCUAUUCAAAAUAAUUUUAAAAGUGGUGUCAAUGCCGAGUGACCUGUCCGUUUAGAAAACUCCAUGCUUUUCUAAAUAUGGUCUUAACAUCGAGUGACCUGCCCGUUUUGCAAUUUAUUAGCUUUUUUAGAAAAACUCUCACGCUUUUCUAAAAUGGUCUCAAUGUCGGGUGCCCUGCCCGUUUUAAGAUUUUUUUAGAAAACUCCAUGUUUUUCUAAGAAAUGGUUUCAAUGUCGAGUGACCUGCUCGUUUUAAUUCUUUUUGUUUUUUUAGAAAAACUCCACGCUUUUUCUAAAAAAUGGUCUCAAUGUCGAGUGACCUGCUCGUUUUAAGAUUUUUAGAAAAACUCCACGCUUUUUUCUAAAAAUGGUCUCAAUAUCGAGUGACCUGCCCGUUUUAAGAUUUUUAGAAAAACUCCAUGCUUUUUCUAAAAAAUGGUCUCGUUGUUAUGGGUGACCUACCCUGAUAAAAAGAAAAGUGGUCUCAUUGUUAGGGUGACCUACCCAGAUGGAAAGUGGAAAGUGGUCUCAUUGUUACGAGUGACCCACUCAAGAAAAUGCAAAGAUUGUUUUCAAAAGAAAUGGUCUCAUUGUUAUGGGUGACCUACCCAGAUGAACAGAAAAGUGGUCUCAUUGUUAUGGGUGACCUACCCAAGAAAAUGCAAAUAUUUUUUCAAACAACUGGUCUCAUUGUUAUGGGUGACCUGCCCCUUUUGGAAUAUAAAAUUUUUUUACCCUAAGGAAUGAAGCAAUGUUGAUUCACAAUUCUUAUUCUUCUUCAUAGUUCUGUUGACUUGAUAUCUCCAUCCUUUCUAGUUCAGCUGUCUUGAGAUCCUGUAUCUCAGUGGUUCUCUGCAACUCGAAACUAUUCUGGCUUUCUUCGCACCUUUCCUAUCAGGUUAGUGUGAUGGCCACACAACAUGUAUGUUUUUGUUACCUAUCUUGGAAAUACAGGUCCCUCUUUCCAUUGUGGCCUUCUUUGAGCUCUUAUUUCCAUUUGUUUGCCCGACCUAUCCUCUUGAACUAGAUUUUGAUCCACGUGCUACAUUUCUUAUCCUUUUAUGCUUAGGGAAGAUAUUUCUAGUUUCUUAUAGGGCUUUUCCUUGCUCCAUUGAAUAUUGUCCUUAAUUAUUUUAAGAAUACUCAAAAGAUCUGGUUUCGUUCAUGAAAACUAACACUUUCAAUGUAUGUAUCAUAUUUUGUCUCAAGCAAUUCCUAUAAAGGUGUUUCAAAGGUUUUUAUGAUGAUACCUGUCAUAACCCAAUUUUGGGUUAUUCCCCAAAUUUCACUUUUUUUCAAAAUAAAAAAUCAAAAAAUUAAAUAAAAUAAAGGCUGGCAAUGUGGAGAAAGCUGAUAAAAAAAAAACAGCAAAAAUAGGAAAAAAUCGAAGGUCAAAUUAAAUGCAAAUUCGAAGGUCAAAUUAAAUGAUUAUUGAAUGAAUUUGCAUAAAAAUUAAAUCCAAUGACACAAUUAAAUUUUUAAUGGGCCAAUUUGAUUUAAUCAUGGGCCAAAUUAAAUUUUAAUUAUGUUUAAGAAUUAAUUUAGCUCCAAUUGAAGGAUUUAAUUAAGUGCAAGGACUUAAUUAUACUUUAAAUGGGUCAAAUUAAUUUAGGGGCUUAAUUGGUGAAAAAUUAAGUUUGGGAGCCUAAUUUGGACUUAAUUCAAAAGAUUGAAAUUUUAAGAGACCAAAUUUAAUUUUUACCAAGUGAAUUGAUUCAAACAAUUGAGGGACCAAUUUUGAGGCCCGAAAAAUACUUUGCCUAUAAAUAGCAGCCUACAAAAAUCAGUAAAGGGGGGUCAUUUUGUAGGGGGGUAAUUUCGGCACUUUCAAAAGAAAAAAAUACAGAAACCCUAACCCUAAAAACCUCUUUCUUUCACGCCAGCCGCCCCCCGUUGGUUUUCAUUUUUUGGCUCCCUGAACCGCUCCUCGAUUGGAUUUUUCUUCUCCUUCACCCAGAGCCACAGACAGCCGGCUCCUCCCUUUUGAUUCUCUUCUCCCUCAAACAGCUUCCCUCAUAACCAGGAGAACCCCAAACAUCAGGCAGCCACCCCCUUUGCCCUUUGAUAAAAACACAGCAGCCACCGUCCUCUUCAGCUUUUGGCUUUUCUUCCCCGAAACCAUUCUCCCUCUGGACUCAGCGACCACUCUCCACCAACAGACCUCAUCUUCAGCAACUAGAUCUGCCCUCCAGCGGCACCUCCCACAGAUCCAACGCCAUUUCCAACCAAAACCAACGAUCAGCCAACACUCUUUCCUCCUCCAGCUCUGCCGGCCGGACAUGAUAGAAGCACAAUGGCCAGCAGUUUCUCAGUCACCGGCAGCUACUUAGAAUAAAGCAUGGGAGACCAAAAGAAGAAAGACAGAAACAAAGAGAGAAAGCAGAAAUAAAAACAGAUUUGAAAAAGAGGAAGAACCGAAACUUUGCUUGCGUUUUUUCUUCUAUUUGUAGGUGAUUGUGGUUGUCACCGCCGGCAAGGAAAGGAAGAAGGAGGGAAGCCACUCCAAAUCCACCCCGUCUCUUGUUUCUGCUUACGGCGGCACGUGAACCCACGAGCCUCCAGUGAUGGUGGCGCGUGGGAAGACGCGCCGCCACGAGUUCAGACAGUCCAGAAGUGUCCUUCAAUUCAAUUUCUGGAGUUUUAGGGACUGUUUUGUUAAUUUUAAAUUAUUUAAUGUAAUUUUUAUUUAGUUUUUGAAUUUGUAUUUUGUGUAAAUGUGAAUGUAAAAGAAAAGAAGAAGAAAAGAAAAGAAAAUAAUAAUAAAAAAGAGCGUGUGUGUGUGUUGGUGUUCUUUUUUUUAUUUAUGUUAUUGAAUUAUAAAAAUAAAAAAAGGACAAAAAGAAGUAAGUGUUUAAUUUUACAUGCACAAAUAUCUAAGGAUAGAUAAAGUCAUGUUGUGUUUUUCAUGAAAAUGUAAGAACAUGUUUUUACAUAUAUUUUGGGAAUUAAUAACUAAUUUAUUAAAGCCUUAGAAUUGGCUAAAAAUUUUAUUUUAAAAAUUACAUCAAGCUUGAAUGUGGUUUUGUGAAUUUUUUUUAUGAUAAAAUCGCAGGAAUAAAGGAUUUGAUAUUUUGAUUGGAUCACGGUGUAGAAGUACAAACUUGUAUGGAAGUUGUAUUUCUAAAAUCCGAUGAAAAGACAAAAUUUUUAAAACUUCUUUAACACAUCAAGUCCACGAAGCAGCUUACCUCAGGUAGGGUGCGUUAGGGGUGCUAAUACCUUCCCUAACCACAAUCAGUCCCUUACCCGCGAAUCUCUGACCAAGACCAGUCCAUCAGGGUUUCCUAGUGACCCUCAAUUAAAUACUAGGUGGCGACUCCUAACGAACCAAUUCAAGCAAUGCAACAAACAGAAAAAUCGCCAGCCGAUUGCCGCGCGGGAUUUUUCGACGUGCGACAGAAUGGCGACUCCACUGGGGAGGUAUUGUUUCUGACAAUAUUGGACUAAGCUUUGUGUAUUUGAUGUCUUUAAAUUUUGCCAUUUUUGUCUUGUUUUAUUUUAUCCAUGCAUUUAUAGAAUUGUUUCAUGCAUCACUUGUAUUUAUUUUUGAAAGCACACACAAGCUUCUAAGUUAGGUGGGGAGUAGCAGUCUACCUCAUGACUUUCAGUCGGGGUUCAGAUUUGUGAAACAUCCAACUAUGAGCUGAGUGUUUACUCGGUAAUGGCGGUCACAUGGUGCCCCAACCAUUCCUUGUAAACCCCUAUACUGCCUUCACGUGAGGUCGGUCACUGGGCAGUUCAUAGACCCUUUUGAGACCAGGUAGAAAACCUACCCAUGUUCACACAAUGAAUAGAACUGUCCUUAGGUUGUAUGUGCUAUCAUUUAUUUGCAUCAGGGGAACCCUUCUUGAAGCAUCUUGAACUCAAGAUUUUGGGUGACACAAUGGUCGUCACUCGAAAAUUUUCAUUGUAGAGUUUGGGCAAAAAUCACAUUCUUGUUCCAUAUACAAGAGUUACGACCAUGUUGUCACCCCUCGAAGGGCGAGUUCAUCAUAUAGACUUCAUGUUCAUACAUUUGUCAUGCAUGCACCAGAAUGAAAAAUAGGUCCCCUCCGAGUCUACAACACCUGAUUUUGAGAGAAAAACAUUGGAGACAAAGAGUAUGCUCGCUGCAGCAUCCAUUUCCAAGAAGAGUUAGAGUCUCUGAAAGCAAGCGUGGCUCGCCUCAUUAGCUUACUCGAGCAAACACUUAGAAAUGCCUCUGGUGAAGGUCCUUCCAAUCAGCCAGCUAUUUGUGUUCAGCCCCAACAAAGCCCGAAGAAAUUGGGGGCCAACAUGAUCAAGAGCCUCAACACAAUCUGAAGGGGAAUUGCAUCACCGUUACAGAAUGGAGCCUGUUCUUGUUCUGCCAAAAAUAACUACCUCUGUUCGAUCAUGCCUCCAAAAACUUGAUUUUUUGUUUCAACCUAUUCCAGUUUUUGUUGGUAAUUUGGCUCAAAAUUCCACAAGACUUUCCCUGUCCAUGAGCCUUUCUUGUUAUAAGAUCAUGUGUUUUCUGUGUUCAUCACAUGCUUCAUUUUUGUUGUUGUUUCAUGCAAAUAACACAUUGAGCAUAACCUUUAAGCAUGAAACCAUCGCGCCCAAAAUCUUGUGGUGUGUUUCCCCUUCUCUUCCCAAAACAAAGCAUGAUCAUACAUGUUCACAUGAGGAUUUUUGGGAAUUCAAAGUUUAGUACAAAAACAGAAAUCAUGUUGAUGUUUGUCCGAAACAAACGAGUUCUGGAAAUUCAGGUGAUUCCUUAGAGAGGUAACCAUACACCUAGAAAAAAAAACACCAUGAAGUGACUCUAAAGCUGAGUUUUGAUUGCAUGAAUAAUGAGAAAUCACUUUGCAUACUCGCAUGAAAGCAAGGCUUACCGAUCCUAAAUGCAUGCAUUUGAGAUGAAGAAAGGCCAUCUUUGAUAAUCCUUUCACAAGGCUGAAAUAUAUCAUUUGCAGUCCCCUUUUGAGCCUAAUAAAUUUUUCUUGAAAAAUAACCUUGGCUAGGAUCACACCCUACACUGGGGGGCAAGUGCAAAAAAAUCCAUAAUGAUUGAAAGUGCCCAAAUAACUCUUGGGGGCAUGAAAAAGUCUUCAACAAUGAAAGUGCCCAAACAAUACUGGGGGGCAUAAAAGAAAAUUCUCAAUCAUCAAAGGUGCCCAUACAAAGCUAGGGGGCAUGAAGAAAAAUCCAAAGGAUCCAAAAUUCUGAGCAUAAAAAAAAAAAAGCUAAUGCAAUGAUGCUCAAAAUCAAAUGAAGAAAACAAAAACAAAGAGAAAGAGCCCAAGCCCAACACUGGGGGCACCGUGGACCAUUUUACAAAUCAAUUCCAAGGUCCAGAAAUGUAUGAACAAAAGAGUUUGGGAUAUAAGCACUAGUGAUCCUUAGUCUUAAAGUCCCUUAAACACCUUUUGAGCCUACAUAUAUCAUUUUCUUCAUAGCCAAAAGCCCAAGCCUACAUUACGUGCCUAAUGAAGCCCUUUCUGAUCAAAGGCAAGCAAUCUGGAUCGGUAGGCAGUGCUUUCUCAUGCGAAAAAAAUCAUUAUUCAUGCAAAUAAAAUGAAUGCUUUGAAAACGGUUCUCAAUAACCCUCAAAUUGAAAUUUAAACCUUUUGUGACCAACAGAUGUCACUUCAUGUUCUUCACAUUUUCACCAACGGUUCUCAAUAACCCACAAAUUGAAAUUUAAACCUUUUGUGACCAACAGAUGUCACUUCAUUGUUUAAACCUUUCCAACCAAUGUCACUUAUUGAAAUUUAACUUUUGUGACCAACCAGAUGUCACUUCGUGUUUUUCACAUGUUCACCAAAAGCAAAACAAAAAGUUUUCAUCACUUUUGAUAACCUCUCAAUAGGAAUCACUUGAAUUUCUUCAGAAUGAGUUCGCUUUGAAUCGAUGUCAAAAUGAUUUCUGUGUCUGGAAUAGCUUUGAAAUUCCAAAAAUUCUACAUGAAAACAACUCCUUGUCAAACCUUCCUUCACAUAGCCUCAUCCCCAAACCCGAAUUGAAUACUUAGGGGCAUGAUCAAGCUAGGGGGCAAUCAAAAAUAUCUGGUAGAUCUGGCUCCAUGAUUCCCUUUCUAAGAUACUAUUGGGAAAAAUUAGCAACCCUUGAGAUAAAAGGGGCGGAGAACAAAGAGGUAUGAUGAUAUCAAGUCCUUCCAAGAGGCCAAGAUCAUAAGAUAUUUCUCGAGUAAGCAAGGGGGACUCAGCGACCACUCUCCACGAACAGACCUCAUCUUCAGCAACCAGAUCUGCCCUCCAGCGGCACCUCCCACAGAUCCAACGCCAUUUCCAACCAAAACUAAUGAUCAGCCAACACUCUUUCCUCCUCCGGCUCCGCCGGCCGGACAUGACAGAAGCACAAUCGCCAGCAGUUUUUCAGUCACCGGCAGCUACUUAGAACAAAGCAAAGGAGACCAAAAGAAGAAAGACAGAAACAAAGAGAAAAAGCAGAAAUAAAAACAGAUUUGAAAAAGAGGAAGAACCGAAACUUUGCUUGUGUUUUGUCUUCUAUUUGCAGGUGACGGUGGUUGUCACCGCCGGCGAGGAAAGGAAGAAGGAGGGAAGCCGCUCCAGAUCCACCUCGUCUCUUAUUUCUGCUUGCGGCAGCGCGUGAACCCACGCUCCGCCAGUGAUGGUGGCGCGUGGGAAGACGCACCGCCACGAGUUCAGACAGUCCGGAAGUGUCGUUCAAUGCAAUUUCUGGAGUUCUAGGGACUGUUUUGUUAAUUUUAAAUUAUUUAAUGUAAUUUUUAUUUAGUUUUUGAAUUUGUAUUUUGUGUAAAUGUGAAUGUAAAAGAAAAAAAGAAGAAAAGAAAAGAAAAGAAAAGAAAAUAAUAAUAAAAAAGAGUGUGUGUGUGUUGGUGUUCUUUUUUUUAUUUAUGUUAUUGAAUUAUAAAAAUAAAAAAAAGGACAAAAAGAAGUUAGUGUUUAAUUUUACAUGCAUAAUUUUACAUGCACAAAUAUCUAAGGAUAGAUAAAGUCAUGUUGUAUUUUUCAUGAAAAUGUAAGAACAUGUUUUUACAUAUAUUUUGGGAAUUAAUAACUGAUUUAUUAAAACCUUAGAAUUGGGCUAAAAAUUUUAUUUUAAACAUUACAUCAAGCUUGAAUGUGGUUUUAUGAAUUUUUUUAUGAUAAAAUCGCAGGAAUAAAGAAGGAUUUAAUAUUUUGAUUGGAUCAUGGUGUAGAAUUACAAACUUGUACGGAAGUUGUAUUUCUAAAAUCCGAUGAAAAGACAAAAUUUUUAAAGCUUCUUUAACACAUCAAGUCCACGAAGCAACUUACCUCAGGUAGGGUGCGUUAGGGGUGCUAAUACCUUCCCUAACCACAAUCAGUCCCUUACCCACGAAUCUCUGACAAGACCGGUACAUCCGGUUUUCUAGUAGCCCUCAAUAAAUUACUAGGUGGCGACUCCUAACGAAUCAAUUUAAGCAAUGCAACAAACAACGAGAAAAAUCGCCAGCCGAUUGCCGCGCCGGAUUUUCCGACGUGCGACAAUACCCCUUUGGAUUUUGGUUCACUAUAUACCCCUAUGUGCACGUUUUUCCCUUAGUGUGGCGUGCAAUACAUGUCAGGUUUCAAUUUGGUUUGGUUCCCUUCAAUUUUAGAAUUAACGGAGAGCAUAUUAUGAUUCCCUAGUCAUGCGUAAAAAAAACAGUUCUUUUAAGUAAAUGAUUUCAAAUGCUAUGAGAUCAUGCGCUUUAUGAAGAAAAUGUUCUUUAUAGAGAUAAUUCAUGGCCAAACUUUAUUUUAUUGAUUACAAAACACAUCAACCAUAGUAUUUUCUAGAGUCAGCAUUCACAUGUCUAACUUCUCCAUCCAUUCUAGAUAACAAUAAAGCUCCUCUUGAGAAAGCUUUCUUCACCAUGUAAGGGCCAUCAUAGUUUGGCGCCUAUUUACUCUGAUCUUCUCCUAGUAAAGACAAUAUUUUCUUCACUACGAGAUCUCCUUCUUGGAAUCCUUGAGGUCGAACCUUCUUGUCAUAUGAUUUGGCCAUCCUUCUUUGGUAGAGUUGAUGAUGACAGAUUACAACUAUCCUCUUCUCACUUAUCAGGUUCAGUUGUUCAUAUCUAACUUUUAUCCAUUCUACCUCUUCUAUCUUAGAGUUCUAUCAAUACUCUCAAUGAGGGGAUUUCCACUUCUAAAGGCAUCAUUAUCUAUAUUCCGUAUACCAACGUGUACGAGGUGGCUUCUAUUGAGGUUCAGACUGCAGUGUAGUACGCACGAAGGGCAAAUGACAACAUCUUAUGUCAAUCCUCGUAGGUGACUAUCAUUUUCUGAAUAAUCUUCUUGUCAUUUUUGUUAGCAUCUUCUACAACACCAUUCAUCUUUGGCCUAUAUGGCGAGGAAUUGAAAUGCUUGAUUUUCCAUUUAAAGCAGAGUUCUAUUAACAUCCUGCUAUCAAUAUGUGCUGGUUGUACCAUGUACCCAAAAUCUAUUCUAGUCGUAGAAGCUAGUGUGGCCAAAGUGUCAGCCAAUUGGUUUCCUUCCCUUUCUAGAUGGGUGAAUUCUAUUUCCUCAAAUUCCCCGUGUAGUUUAGACAAGUAUUCUUGGUAAGGCCUCAACUUCUCUUCCUUGGUUUGACAUUCUCCUUUUAACUUGGCAAAUGAUCAACAUUGAGUCUCCACACACAUCUAUCUUUCUAAUGUUUAGCUCCAACGCAGCCUCCAAAAUCGAGAAUGCAAGCUUCAUACUUAGUUGUGUUGUUAGUGCACCCAAACUACAACUUAACUAAAACUGGAUACUAUUUCUUAUCAGGAGGGAUUAACACUGCCCCCGCUCCAUUACCACAUACAUUCAUAACAUCAUCAAAGUACAUAAUCCACCAAUCUAAUUUCCCUUCCUUGAUUGAAAGCACAUCUUUAUUAGGAAAUCCAAGUUUAAUGACUCAUAAUCUUCCAUAGCAUGGUCAGCUAGGUGAUCGACGAUGACACUCCCUUUCAUGGCUUUCCUAUGUCGUACACCAGCCAGUAGAACUUGCCAUCUUGCAAUUCAGCUUGAUAGAUAGGGUCUUUCACAAAUGUACCUCAACGAGCCUAAUUUGGAAAUUAAUCACUUAGUAUGAUAUAACAUAUAUUGAUGUAAUAAAUGGCCCUUUCCUUCCUUCUGGUUUCAUCGUGUUGUCCAAGCACACAUCCCAUUGUUGUUUUAGUUACUGUUAAGUAUAAUAUCAACGAACUUUCUGGUAUAGGAGGAACAAGCAAGGGUGGAUUCAGCAGGUACUACUUGAUUUUAUCAAAAGCCUCUUCGUACUCUUCAUUCCAAUUUCCAGGAUUCUUUUUCCUUAACAAACGAAAGAUUGGAUCACAAGUCGUGGUUAAUCAGGAUAUAAAACUGGGCAAUGUAAUUUAAUCUUCCCAGGAACCCUCUUACUUCUUUCCCAGUCUUAGGAGUUAGCGUAGCUUAAAUAGCCUUUACUUUGGCAGGAUCCAAUUCUAUCCCUUUGUCACUCACCACAAAUCCCAACAACUUCCCCAAAUUUCACCCCGAAUGAACAGUUUGCUCGAUUAAGCCUCAACUUAUACUUCCUUAGUCUUUCAAAUAAUUCCUUCAAUAUUUGGACAUGAUUCUCUCCCUCUCUAGAUUUAGCAAUCAUGUCAUCCUCAUAUACUUCAAUCUCUUUGUGCAUCAGGUCAUGAAAUAGAGUCAUCAUGACCCUUUGAUAGGUGGCCCGAAUGGCAUAACCUUGUAACAAGGUCCUUUAUGAUGUUACAAAUAUUGUCUUUUCCAUAUCCUCUUUCAUCAUUUUUAUUUGAUUGUAGUCCGAAAAUCCAUCAAUAUAUGGAGCUACGUGUUGUAUUGUCAACCAGCAUAUCUAGGUGUGGUAGAGGAAAAUUGUCUUUAGGGCUAGUCUGGUUUAAGUCCCUAAAGUCCACACAAACUCUGAUUUUACCUUUCUUUCUGGGUACGACCACUAUGUUGGACAAUUAUUGUGGAUGCUUAACUACUUAUAAAAAACCAGCAUUCCAUGUGUAACGGCCCGACCCAACUUGCCAUAUAUUGUCCGCUUUGGGCCUUACCGCCCUCAUGGUUUUAUUCCUGGUGACGCGAGCCCAUUUCUGAGCCUGACGCCCCAAAACGCGUAUAACAAGUUGGCAACCAACACCACUUAUAAGGCCAAAACAUGUUGAUUGAAUACAAAGCUAACUUGUUGGUUAUGUGGAUAUAAAUGGGGUGGAACCAUGAAGAAAUUAAAAUGAAAGAAAUAUGGAAAAUAAAACAUAUUUAAAGCUAGCCAUAAGUAUUUUUGGCAAAUUGAUUAGUUAAUGAAGAUUGUCAUGGAUUCCAACUAGUAGGGUGAAAUUGUUGUUAUGAUAAUGAUCUAAUAAUAUUAAUUGUUAAGGUUUGCCGCAUAUGUUUAAUCGCACGAGGAGAGAGCGAAAGAAAAUGAAUAGUUCAUCAUUUUGUUGUAUUAAUAAUAAUAUUAGGAGAAAUCCCAAAAGGAAUGAGUUUCCUUAUUUUUGGUCUGAUCUUUGCUAUAUUGUAAAGGUAGGGAAAUUGUUUGAAUGUUUUGCUUUAGAAUUGGUUUGAAUUUGUGAUUUAAUGAUGCCAAAUGACCUUGGAUGAUGUUUUUUUUGCAAUAAAAAUAAGUUGGAAGUUGAAAAGGACUCCCAAGAAAUGAAAAUCCUCGUUGCUCAAAAUUUUAGCUAUAAAGGAGGGGCUAUUAUGAUUGUUGAUUUUGAGCUUUAAAACAAAAUAAUUUGGAGUUGGUUUCUUCAUAAAAGUUGUAUUUCCAUGUUUUAGCCUUUCAUAGAGAUACAUCAUGCCCAAAACUGAGUUUUUUACAGCUUUAGUUAGGAUUAAGACACUAGAUAGUGUUAUGGGUUGGUUAAGCUAAAUUGAUUGGAAUCAGACAAUUUUUAAUCUUUGCUUGGAAUUUGCUGUUGAGUGAUGGUUUUGAUAACAAAAUAAUAAGAAUGAAUAUAAACAUGAAAAUGAGUAAGAGUAUUAUAUCUUAAAGAAAAUUCCUUGUGAUUGGUUUGAGAAUAUUAGUUGAAUGAGAAUUAAAUGAAGAUGUGAUGUUUACCACGCUUCCGCUGCGCCACUCUGAUACCAAAUGUAACGGCCCGACCCAACUUGCCAUAUAUUGUCUGCUUAAAGCUCAUAUAAGUUUUUCAACGUUCCAUGAUCUCCCAAGUUCUGAAAAUCCCCUCCUUCAGAUUUCUGCUAAUUGGACUGAAAUAUUUCUAACCAUUAAAAAUUAAGGACCAAAAUGAAAUUUUAUACAUAAUUCUAGGACAUCUAUGAGUUUUACCCAUCAAUUCAUUAUUAUCUUGUGUAAUUGAGGAGCUUGUGUAUAAUUCUUUAAAAAAAAUCAGAUAAGAAGGAAAUACUUAUCUAGAUAUAGGUUUGAUUAAGAAAAAGAGAUGUUAAUCAAAGAGGUAAUUAUAGGCCAGCAACUAGAAUUCUAGAAGUUCUUUCUAGUUAUAAGAAGAAGAAGAAAAAGCAAGGAAUGAUGGGAAACCAGUGCUUGUGAGUUGUCGUACGUGGAUGCGUAGUGUUGAGGGUUGAAGGAGUCACUAUCUAGUUAUUUAGUUUAGGAUUGUUAGGAAACCCGGUUACAUUGGUUUUUAUCAAAAAUUCAAGGGUAAGAGAUUGGUUAUGGUUAGAGAAGGUAUUAACACACUUUACCUAAGGUAAACUUCUUUGUGUGGUUUUGAUGGGUUUUAAAAGUUUUUAUGAGUUCCUAACCUACAAUCAAUUUAUGGAUUAAGAUGAAGGCAAAUGGGUUUUCUACCACUCGUGCGUCGUAGUGAGAAAUACUUUCAAUUAAAAUAAGUAAAUGUUUAGUAUAAUUUUGAGAAUUUUCUAGUUAAUUUCUAAUAUUUAAAUACCAAUCUAGUUGUAGGUCCAACAUUUAUACCAGAAUAUUUACCAUUAAUUCUCAUGAAAUAAAAUUUUAUCGGUUAUAAAAAUAUUGAUUAAAUUCUCAUGAAUUCAAUAAAUUGAUUUAUUAAAUAAAAAAUGUAAGCAAUAUUAGGAAAUUUCUGCUUCAAUUUCCACCAGAGCCAACCCUUUGCCAUGACCCAGUCAAGAGUCAUGUACUAUCCAACCCCUCUUCCAUUAUGCCAUUACCACACUACCCUCUUUCCUUGCAGCAUUCCACACCCAGAACAACGACCACCAUCACCCCCUUCUAAUUCCUCCACCAAUGCACCCCCUCGGCACCGCUGCUGCCACCUCCUUCCUUUCCACCCUCUUAUUGCUCCUCCACUUAACGGCAUCAUUUCCUUAGAAUUACAUGAGUAAUCUUUCAAACUGCAACCAAAACUUCUCUUGUGGUGCCCUCACAGACAUCACCUACCCUUUCACCGGUGGCCAAGGGCGGAGGUACUUACAGGGCUGUAGCCCAGGUAGGAAAAAAAAAUAAAAUCCACAGUUACUAAAGAAGCAUAUUUUCAAGAACAAAAGCUGGGAAAUAAAAUAUCCAUCAAGUUUGGUUUUAAGAGACCAAAACGCAAAUGGAGUUCAAUUUUUUUUUUCCGACCACUAAAUUAUUUUUAACAAAAAUUUCAAUUAUCUUGCAUAGUAAACUUAAAAAAAAAACUUAAUUUUUUAGUUUUUUCCCACACUUAAAAAAAAAACAAAUUAAAUUAAAUAUUGAAAGAUGAAACUGUAAUAAAAAAAUAUAAACUUAAAAAAAUAAACUCAGACAAAUCACCUAAACUUAAGUUAAUAUCUCAAAUUCUCAAUUCAUUAAAUUCUAAAAUCAGACUCAACCAAGAAGUCCAGAUCAUGUUGAAGUAAGAAAUAAUAUAUAUAUAUAUAUAUAUAUAUAUAUAUAUAUAUAUAUAUUUCAAUUCUAAAACUUGCUGAGGUUUAAAAACAUAACAAUAAAAAAUGGAGGAUAAAAUCGCAAAAACAAAUUAAAUAAAAUAAAUAAUAAAAAAAAAUGAAAAUUAAAUCUAAUAAAUUUAAAAUUGAAAAAAAAAAUUCAAUUCUAUAAAAUAAUUCAAAUAAAAAAAUAUAAAUUAUACCUAGCUCUACUUUAGAACUUAAUGACAACUUUAAAUCAUUUAAAGUUGAUGCUAUUUCCAAGCUUGCUGAGAAAUUUUAUCUUAAAGAUUUCAAUGAACAAGAAAUAUAUUAUUUAAGAUUUUAGCUAGAGCAUUAUCAGAUUGAUAUGAUUCAUCAUAAGAGCUUUCAGAAUAUGUCUACUAAGAGUAAUCGUUUUCGGUUCGGUUUGUUUUUUAUAAAAAAAAGUAAUCAAACCAAAAAAUCUUUUUUUGAAAAAAACCUAAACUGAACCGAAACUUGUUCCAAUCGAAUAAUUUUGGUUCGGUUUGGUUUUUUAGAACAAAACCGGUUCAAAUCGGUAGGCUCGAUUUUUCCGGUUUGGCUCCGUUUUUUUGGUUUUAAGCUUAUAAAACCGAAACCGAACCAGUCAAUUUUUUCAAAAUUUUAAUCGGUUUAAUCAGUUUUUUUAUGGUUCAAUUUUUUCAAUUAUUUUUUUUAUUUUCUCUAUUUAAUCGGUUUUUUGGAUUUUUUGCUUACUUCUAAUGUCUAUCAUUUUUGAAUUAUGUCAAGGAUUAGCUGAAACAAAUAAAUCACAGCACUAUCAUUUGAUUGACAAGUUGAUUCGUUUUGUUUUUACUUUGCCUACACUACCACAACAGAGCGGACAUUUUUAGCUAUAAAACAUGUUAAAAUUGUGCUUCGUAAUAAAAUAAAAGAAUAAUUCUCACUACAAGAUUUCACAGUUUUACCGACGGACAUAUUCCGUCGGUGUGUGACAGAACGUUCGUCGGUAAAUUAUUUACCGACUAUAUUACCGACGGAAUACUUCCGUCGGAAUACCUUUUGUCGGUGAUUCCACAUUCCGUCGCUAUAUCCGUUGGUAAUAAAAAAAACACAUUUACCGACGGUUUUACCGACAGCCGGUGCGCGCCAAAAAAAAAGUUUCCCGCUUGGAAUAUACCGACGGAAUGUAUUCCGUCGGUGUUAUGUAAAUACCGAUGGAGGUUACUCCGUCGGCAAAAGUGUCGGUGAUAUUUCAUACCGACCGAAUAAAUCCGUCUGUAAAUUCGUCGGUAUUUGUAUACCGACGGAUUAUGUCCGUCGGUGAGUAUGUCGGUGAUGGGAUGGCAUACCUCAGACACUGUCCAAUGCCGACGGAUUUAUUCUGUCGGUAAAUCCCUGUGUAAUUUUUUUUUUUUUAAUUAUUUAGAAAAAAUAAUAUAAAUUAAUAGUAAUACAAACCAAUUAUGCAAAUAAAAUUUAUAUUAAGCAACAAAAACUCAAAGUUAAAUAAUAUUCAUUACAAAAUGAAUGUGUUUAAAAAAAAACAAUUAAUAUAAAGGUGGAGGAGGAGGAGGAGGAGGAGGUGGGGGUUAGGCGGCCAAAAAGGAUUAGGCGCACAUGUUCCGCCUUGUGUCAUGUUCAUGACCAUUUGACGAAGCUCUUCAUAGGCCGCUCUUUGUUGUUCAGACUCUGCUCUGCGUUGUUCGUUCCGCCAAUCUUUGCUCUUCUUUGAGUUGUGUGUACGCCUCUGAUAGGUGGUCGCACCUUUGCUGCAAGGCCACAAACUCCUUAGAUUGGGAGCUCGAUACAGAUUGGGAGCUCCCACCGGUUGAAGCAGUACCGGUCGACCGCAACUUGGCAGCGGUAGUGUUGGAGAGCCCGUAAACCCGAUUUUUAUCGGGUCCACCUGACGAUCCAGCCUCCAUCCACAAAUCCGGAUCGAAUUCCGGAUGGGUCGAAGGAUCAUCCCCGUAUCUCUCCCUCAACCGAUUAUUAUAGGUCUCCUGAAAAAAAAAAAUCAUAUUCAAUUCAAUAAACAUAAUAAUAACUUACAAAAUAAAAUGGUUAAACAAACACACCACAAACUGUUGAGCACGGUUGUCAACGAACUGUUGCGUCCCCUUUUGGCGGUCAUGACUCCGCACGUGCGUCUCCACAAACAGCUCCAUAGGGCUCGGCUCACGUCCAAGAGACGUAGCCUAUAUAUAAUGAAAAAAAUGUAUUAACAACAAAUUAAUUGAACGAUAUAUUUCAUUUAAAUUAAUCUUACCAUCCGUUUCGCAUGUGCAGCAAACGGAACGGAGCCGCCGGUGUGCGUUGUAACCGAGCCAUGAAUUUGCCGAUUCCGGUUGCCGGCACCGGACUGUGAGCGUCGAGUGAACCGCUCAGACGUCACGUGCUGAAGAUAGUGCGGCCAUAUAUCUUCCGGGAUGUAUAUUGGUUUGAAAUCCCUCCAAACCGCAACAUCGUUCCAGCCUUGUAACCCCUUAUCCCUCGCUUUUUUUUGCUUUUUUCUGGGCGUCAUACCAAAAAUCACGCAACCUAAUUCACGCACGAAAAAAUUACAUUUCAAAACAUAAAUAAUUAUGUAAAAAAAAGUCGUAUUGUUUUCGAUGUUACCUAAUUGCCGCGUGAUUUUCCCACACCCUCCUCACAACACUGUCAUGUUCAUCGUCCCAGCAGAAUCGAUGCUGUAUAUAAAAAAAUAAUUUUUUAAAAUGUUAAUAAUUUAUUUACAAUUAUAACAUGAAUUUAUAAUUAGAAAUAAGCUGAAAAUUAUAUAUUAACACGAACCUCAAAUCUACGAAACCAUGCAUUGAUUUGAGGCAUCCAUUCAGGAUGUCUGGAUAUCUGACUCCAUUGAAACAAUGGAAUCUCCAUCGACGCUUUAAACGCCGAUGAUAUUAAUCGGGCGGCCUCAAUGUUUGUGAACCUGAAAAGAAAUGAAAUUAAUUUGUGAUUACUUCAUAAAUUAUGUUUUAAAUUUGUUUUUUUUAUAUAAAAAAAACUAAAACAUUAACAAACUUACAUUGAAAGAUCGUCCUUCCACUGUGCCUCGAACUGGCGGGUAAAUUGAUUCCGCUUCGAAGGCAUGCCGCGUCUGCGAUGUGAAACAUCGCUGGAAGAGGCAGCAUCGGUUGACGGCGCAGGUGGUGUAGGUGCCUCUUCUUGAGAGGCACCUAAGGAAACAUCAUCAUCGCUGCUAGACGAACUUGAUUCGACUGGACGACCAGCUCUGGUUUUCAUUUUGCGCAUCUAAACAAUUUUAUAUUAAUAAUUGUAAAAUAAAAUUCAAAAGUUAAAAAAAAAUCGGCAGCACCUCCCCUAUACUGGAUACUACCCAAAUCCACAAACCUGCAAAUAUUAACAAUAGCCACAACCAAUCGAACCAAUCUAUACUAAUUAUUCCAACAUAUUCAACUAUUAAUCCUAAGAUAAAUUCAACGUUAACAAUUACAAUUCACAAAUUAAUCAAUAAUUAUAUUCAAAACAAUAAAAAAUAUAACAAAAAAUAAAUUCAAUAAAUCAACAAAUUAUACUUCAACAAAUUAACAAUUACAAUUCAACAAAUUCAAAAAAUUCAAAAAAAUUCAAAAAUUUCAACUUUAACUAAUUCUAAGUUAAAUUAACUAAUAACAAUUCUAACAACACAACAACAAAAAAUAUUCAAUAAAUCAACAAUUAAAUUCAAUUAUUCAACAAUUAAAUUAACAAAUAUUCAACAAAUUCAAAAAAUAUUCAAAAAAUUCAACUUUAACUAAUUCUAAGUUAAAUUACCUAAUAACAAUUCUAACAACACAACAACAAAAAAUAUUCAAUAAAUCCAACAAUUAAAUUCAAUUAUUCAACAAUUAAAUUAACAAAUAUUCAACAAAUUCAAAAAAUAUUCAAAAAAUUCAACUUUAACUAAUUCUAAGUUAAAUUACCUAAUAACAAUUCUAACAACACAACAACAAAAAAUAUUCAAUAAAUCCAACAAUUAAAUUCAAUUAUUCAACAAUUAAAUUAACAAAUAUUCAACAAAUUCAAAAAAUUCAAAAAAUAUUCAAAAAAUUCAACUUUAACUAAUUCUAAGUUAAAUUACCUAAUAACAAUUCUAACAACACAACAACAAAAAAUAUUCAAUAAAUUCAACAAUUAAAUUCAAUUAUUCAACAAUUAAAUUAACAAAUAUUCAACAAAUUCAAAAAAUUCAAAAAAUAUUCAAAAAAUUCAACUUUAACUAAUUCUAAGUUAAAUUACCUAAUAAAAAUUCUAACAACACAACAACAAAAUAUAUUCAAUAAAUUCAACAAUUAAAUUAACAAUUAUUCAACAAAUUCAAAAAAUAUUCAAAAAAAAAAAAGGAACGAAAUAUACAUACCUUAAUAAUGUGUCAAAUUCAAAACUUUAUCUACAUUGCAACAAAAAACACCAACACAACAAAAAUAAAAACAACUAAAAAUAAAAUAAAAUAAAAUAAAUUAGAAAAAAACACAUACCUUUUAAUAUAAUGAAGAUUUACAACACCAAAUCUUGCUAGAGAUUAAAGGUGAAAGUGUUUAAGGAUUGAGGGGGAAAAAAAUGAAAAAUCUAGGCUGAAAAACGCAGGAGAAGAGAAGAAGCGGCGGGGAGAAGAAGAAAAAAUGAGGCGAAGCGGCGGGGGUGGAACUUAUAGGUCAAUUUUACCGACGGAAUCCCCGACGGAAUUAACAUCCGUCGGUAACAGGUUACAAAUCCGUCGGUAAAAGGUCAAAAUUCCGUCGGUAUUUUUCGAAUUUCGCCCCGAAUUUUUAAAAGCCCUCCAAAAUUUUCGCAGUCCGUCGGUGAUUCCGUCGGUAAGCUGACAAGUUCAGGGGCGCAUUAAUUAACGCACUUUGGGAAACGCGCGGUCCGUCGGUAAUUCUGUCGGUAAAAUGGGUAACCGACAAAUUACCGACGGACCUACGCCGUCGGUAAUACCGUCGAUGGUGGUGUUAUGUUUUCGAGCUUACUGUGAGAUGCCGACGGAUGGCGAUUCGUCGGCAUAGCCGUCGGUGAUUGUGGCAUUUUGUUGUAAAUAUUUUCGAACUCUCUGUGAGAUACCGACGGAUGGCGAUCCGUCGGCAGGGCCGUCGGUGAUUGUGGCAUUUUGUUGUAAAUAUUUUCGAACUCUCUGUGAGAUACCGACGGAUGGCGAUCCGUCGGCAUGGCCGUCGGUGAUUGUGGCAUUUUGUUGUAAAUAUUUUCGAACUCUCUGUGAGAUACCGACGGACGGUGAGUCCGUCGGUAUGGACGUCGGUAAGUUUGCAUUAUGCAGGAAAGUUUGUCUUUGUAUUGCCUGUUUACCUUCCUGCAGAAACUUAACUAAUAAACUGUCCAUCACAUAAACACAAUAACCACAUUGCUUAAACAGUAAAUAUUUUGUUUUACAAAAUACAUCAUCAAUAAUCUAAAUUACAUGAGACAAAUGUUUUUACAUAGGGCUUCAUGUUCAUAAUUAGUCGGAAUUUUCUUCUUCUUCCUCGUCAAUUGAAUUGUCAUCAUCUUCAUCGCAAUCUUCAAUAUGGAUAUCAUCUUCUUCAUCGACAUUUGGUUGUCCGCUAGAGCUGAGAACAACAUUCAACUCCUCUCCGUCAAUAUCAACAAGACUAUCAUCGAGAACUCGAAAAUUUGAAUUUUCUUCCAAUUCAAUCGAAGGAGCAACUCGAUAUGGUUCAACCAACUCACGAACUUGAAAGACUUCAUCUCGCACACUUGUGUCUUCUUUCUCAUCCUGAACAACCUCGACACGACCCCGUGGUUUCGUUUUUAAAACGGACAACCAAUCAACUCUUGAACGAUCCUUUCUAAAUGAAGGGGUGUAUGUGUAAUAAACUUGUUGACAUUGCUUUGCGAAAACAAAGACAUCGUUUAUGUUGCGGAGUCUAGCUUUUGAGUUGAUUUCAACCAGACCAUGGUGCGGAUCAACUCUGAUUCCUCUAUCCGUCGUGUCAUACCAAUAGCAUUUGAAUAAAAACACUUUAUUCUGCUCGCUAUGAUAUUGCAGUGUCUUCCCCUUCACAUCCAUGACGGUGUUGAAAAUAUUCUCAAACACGUUCUUUUCGAUGUGCAUGACGUCAAGGUUAUGGCGGAGAAGAUUUGUCUUCCAAUACGGAAGCUCCCAAAAGAUACUUCGCUUUACCCAAUUAUGGGUCAAACCAAAACCAGGAAACUUUUGCUUACCUGAUUGAAGGCCAAACACAAUGUCACCGUACUCUGAUACAACAUGAUGCAAUUCUUCACCAGAAAGACGCGGGGAUGCAAUAUCUUUUUCAACUCUACCAACAAAGAAAUCUUUUCUGUUCUUUCUGAACCUGUGAUUAAGUGGCAAGAAGCGACGAUGACAGUAAAAAAAAGAAGCUUUACCUCCGUUUGCUAGCGUGAAUGCCUUGUUGUUUUCCAUGCAGUAUGGACAUGCGAGUUUCCCAUGCGUGCUCCAACCAGAAAGCAUUCCAUAAGCUGGAAAAUCACUGAUAGUCCACAUCAAAGCCGCCCUCAUAAGGAAAUUUUGUUUCCUAGAUAUAUCAUAAGUCAGAGAUCCAGAGGACCACAACUGCGCCAGCUCAUCUAUCAACGGUCGAAGACAAACAUCUAUAUUCCGCCCCGGGCUGCUUGGACCGGGUAUGACAGUAGAUAGAAACAUGAACUCCGGCCUCAUACACAUUCCCGGUGGCAAGUUAUAAACUGUGAGAAUGACCGGCCAACAAGAAUAGGGAGCAGCAAAUGACCCAAAUGGGUUGAACCCGUCUGUACACAACCCAAGUCGAACAUUCCUUGAUUCAGCAGAAAAGUCAGGAUGAACACUGUUAAAGCGUUUCCACGCUUCGCCAUCAGAAGGAUGCACCAUCACACCAUCAACGACAUCGUGUGUUUGGUGCCAUGUCAUGUGCUCAGCAGUCCUUGGUGACAUAAAUAACCUCUGCAGUCUAGGUGUGAUCGGGAAAUAUCUAAGUUUUUUAUAUGCCACUAGAGUCUUCCCCCUGCCAGUUCUGGGUUUGUAACGGGAAUGCCCGCAUGUCAUGCACUCGGUCAUCACAGCAUUUUCAAGGUAGUAUAACAUGCAGAAGUUAGGGCACAUGUCAAUUUUCUGGUAUCCUAAACCGAGGGGUUUCAUCAUGGACUUCGCAGCAUAGAAGUUCUCUUUGAGCCUGUUCCCUUCUGGUAAAAUGCUUCUUGCCCAAUCAAUAAUUUUGUCAUACCCGGCCUCACUCAACCCGUGAUCUGACUUGAUGGUGAACACCUGUGCCACAGCCGAUAAUUUACUGUGGUUUGUGCAGCCAUCCCAUAAUGGUUCGUCAGAAUCUUUCAACAAAUCAAAAAACCUAGCUGCCUCUGCAUUAGGUUCUUCUUCUACGAUUGGACAUUGAUUGACAUUAUCUUGAUUCAUUCUCAUUGCAUCCAUAACCAUGUUUCUGUAAGGAUUAGUGUUGUCAUUUGCCGCUUCAUGCACGUUGCUAGCACUAGAAGUUGACCCAACCACCGUUUCUCCCAUUCUCCUAUUACUAACAAAUACCUCUCCAUGUGCAUACCAACACUCGUAAUCCUCCACAAACCCUUUGUGUAGAAGAUGCAUCAUUACAACAUCUGGAUGCAGAUACUUUUUAUUUUGACACUUCCUGCAUGGACACCUAAUACCGCCUCCAGUAAAAUUUCUGGGAAUAGAUGUUGCGAAAUUAAUAAAACCCUGAACCCCGUUACAAUAAUCCAUCCUCCGCAAUCCUUGGGGUGAAUCUAGAUACAUCCAUGAACGAUCAUCCAUGACUUCUAUCGAACCUCUAUAAAAAGGACCCAUUAAUUAAGCAAGCUCUUAAUUAUUUCAAAACACAACAUGUAAUUCGGUAAUUCUACAAAUUAAAUUUUAACAAUUUUCAAACAAAUACAAUCUUACAAAAUCUAAAACAAACCAUAACAAGUAUAAAAUUAUACAUUCAUAUACUACAAGUUUGUUUGAGAAAUAACAAUAAAACAUGUACAUCUACUAAAAAAAAAAUAAUACAUAUACUAAAAAAACAAUAAAAUUAACAUUUAAAUGUUAAAAUUUUAAAAGAUAGAAUUACUUACAAAAAAUGAUAAAAUCCGUCGGUAAAUCAGAACACGGAUGCUGUGACCACAAAACAAAUACAACUUGUUGUGCUGAGAUGAGAAAAAUUCUUGUUUUGGGGUGAGGGGGGGCUGGUUAUUUUGCAGAUGGGGAGGGUUAGGAUUAGGAAGAAGAGGAGAAAUGGGGGAGAGAGUGUCGGCAGAGGAGCCAUAUAUUAACUUUUGCCGACGGACUUACCGACGGACAUUAAUAUCGCCGGUGAAUCCGUCGGCAAAACCGUCGGUAAUUCUGAAGGGCAAUCGACACGUCACCGCACGGACCUACUGUUCAAAUCCAUCAGUGAUUCCGUCGGUAUUUUUAACGGUGCACCCGUCACGUCAUUGGUACGGAUCUGGCAUUUCAAAUCCGUCGGUGAUUCCGUCGGUAUGUUUUGACGGUGAAUAGGUCAACAUCACGCGUACGGGCCCCAGUUUUUAAUUCCGUCGGUGAUUCCGUCGGAAAAAUCACCCGCCAAAACCUCCGCGCUCCUGCCCGCCCUUUUUUCAUUAAUUCUGAAUUUUCGGUCGGUAAUUACCGACGGAAAGAGUCCGUCGGUAAUUACUGACCGAAGUACCGACGAAUAAUUUCCGUCGGUGAUUUCGGCCGAAAAAUACCGACAGAAAAAAUUCCGUCGGUAUGUCCGUUGGUAUUUAGCGAUUUUCUGGUAGUGUCUUAACGUAUUCUAUAAUGAUUUACUUUGAACAAGAGCUUGUUGAAGAUAUUGAUUUGGAUUCGAUCAUAGAUGAAUUUUAUUAUACAAAACAUCAAAGGAUGCAACUUUAAUAUUGUAUUUUAUUUUUAAUUUUAAUUUUAUAUACUUUAAAUUUUAUUUUAUUUAUAUUUUGUAUUAUGUAUUUGGAUUGAAACUUUAUUAUUAAUUUGAUAAAUUUAUAUAUACAAGUUAAUAAUUGAUCUUAAAAAAUAAUUUAUGUAUAUUUAUAUUAUAGCCCAGGAUAAAAAACAUUCCUAGCUCCGCCCUUGCCGGUGGCCAACGACCACCCGUCUGCGGCCCACAGGAGUUCCAGCUCACAUGUAAUAUUGUUGACUCAGUGACCACCCUCAUGGUUAAAUCACUGACUUACCGAGUCACUCUGGUUAACCAAACCAGCCAAACCUUAAGGCUCUCACGUUCAGACUUCUACGAUGAGUACCCUCCAUGCACCCACCAAUCCAGUAGCACCACUUUUGAUAACGUUACCUUCAGUCUUGGCUCCAACCAUGAAACCCUUUCUUUGUUUUAUGGGUGCACGGACUUAGGUGGCUCUGUCAAGGAAAACUCUAAGUUCUCAUGUCCCAUGCCAGGAUAUUUAGAAGAAGGGUUUUUCAAGGUUGGUGAUCAUCCUUAUGUGGAUCGGUGUCGGACUAGUUUUCAAGUGCCAUUUCUCCGGAGGUGGAAACAACAACUUGAGGCUGAAGGGUCAUCAUUACUUGGUAAGGUUUUGAAAGAAGGGUUUGAUGUACGUUAUAGUGAUCCUUACAGUGCUGAUUGUCAGAAGUGUUCCAAGCAUUCUGGUAGGCAAUGUGGGUUUGAUGGUAAAGAACCUAUUUGCAUCUGUAAUCAUCACCUCUGUCCUGUUCCUGUUCCUGUUCCUGUUCCUGUUCCUGGUCCUGGUAAGUUAAAAUCGAUAUUAAUUUUUACUAGCCGAAAUCUUCUACGAGUUUGGUAGCUUUCAAGAAAUGCUAGGCCUUCUUGUGGUAAUUUAUAUGCAGGUUUUUUUUAUAUCAAAUUACGCCAAGCUUCAAUGAUUUCAAGAAUUAAUGCUUGAAUUGCUUGGUAAGGGUUAGAAAUUAAAUUUUAUAAUUUUAUUUUUAAAUUAGUAUAUAAAAACAAUUUAAAAAUUAAAAAUUAAAAACAUUUACUUAAACAACUUAUUAGUUAUUUAUGAUAACAUUUAAUCAACCCACCUUAAUAUUUUAAAAGACAUAAGACCCCAUUCAUGCCAAUCAAACAAAUGAUCAGAAAUAAAUAAGAUAUUCCCUCAUGACUUUAGUCUAAUGAAACAUCAAACUCAUGAUAUACGUGAAGAAACAAAUAAUAUGUUCGAAUAUGUUAGAUAAUUUUGAUUGGACAAAAAGAUGCACGGAACCAAAAAAACAUCCAUGAACUAACAAAUAAUCCUCUUUCCACAGCAGAAUUCACACCUCAACCGCUUUGUAAGAAAUAAAACAUUUAUCAUGAACAUGAACUUGGUCUUGGUCUUAGUCUUGGUCUUGCUAUUGUGAAAUUAUACUUUAGGCAUCAGUUUUUUACUGUAUAAAAAUUUACAGUGAAAUGCUGAUUUUAUCUCUCAAUCACAAAGUAACAUGUCUUGGAUUUAGAGGUAUAAAGGUAUUUUCCAAACAGCCCCUAUAAAAAAAGCUUUUCCAUGUUGGAAAAGGUUUAGAAUGGUAUUGUCGCAAAGUCACCUGUUUCAUAUUGGUUAAGGAAAAGAUUUAUUUCGUUAGAUUACAAGUGGAAAUCAAAUAUUAUCAUUACUGUUGAUUUACAAAUUAAUGAAUUUGAGAGAAUACUAAGAAAAAAAUUAGUAUGAAAAUAUAUAGUUAUGAAAAGAUAAGGAGAUCGAGGAGAGUACUAAUUUUUCAGCUUUAGUCUUUCGGUAUUAAACUGGAGAAAGUACAAGCACACUGCUUUUUUUUCCCCCUCAUGCAUGGAUGUAGAUCUUGACAUGGAAGUCACGGUGAUUUCUAAAUUAUAAUAUGGAGAUAUUGUAAAAAAUUACGAUGUUCCUGCUUCUAACACUCCCAGACCAUAGUGUUAAAUAAUAUUUAUGUUGUCUUAUUUAUUAAAGGUAGAAUAGUACUUUCAGUUUAACCUAUAUAUACUUUAUUUGUAAUUAGGUUAAAACUAAGCAUUCAUAAUAAACAGAUUAUUCAAAAAUCUAGCCUCCGUUUUGUGUUUGAUCUCAAUUAAUUUAACAUGGUAUCAGAGCUGGUUUUAUGGAACGAGGCUUAAUCUCAAUUAAAUUUUUUUUGGAGUGAUAUUUUGUCUUCCGCUUCUGCAAAAUUAGGUAUUUCGAUAGUUUCUGCAAUUAUUUUGGUAUUUCAUCUUCCCUUCAGCAUCUACAAUUUGGUAUUUGCGUUCAGUUUUUGCAAAUUUGUUUUGUGUUUUGGAGUAAUCGUAUAAUUUCGAGAAGAGAUUUGUUUAGUUUCUGCAAUUUUGUAUUUUGUUUCCGCUGCUUUUGCAUUCUGGUUAUUUGUGAUUGCUGAUUAUGGCUACUGAAAGAGAUGAUUCACUUCAGUCUGUGAGUGUGAGGUUGGAUGGGAAGAAUUAUUCGUAUUGGAGUUAUGUGAUGAGAAAUUUCCUUAAGGGUAAGAAGAUGUGGGGGUAUGUUAGUGGGACUUAUAUGAUACCUAAGAAUGUUGAGGAGGGAGAUGUUGUUUUGAUAGAUACAUGGGAAGCAAAUAAUGCAAAGAUCAUUACUUGGAUCAACAAUUCUGUUGAGCAUUCGAUAGGUAUGCAGUUGGCGAAGUAUGAGACAACAAAAGAGGUUUGGGAUCAUCUGCAAAGGUUAUUCACACAAUCAAAUUUUGCAAAACAAUAUCAAUUAGAGAAUGACAUACGAGCUCUUCAUCAGAAGAAUAUGAGUAUCCAAGAGUUUUAUUCUGCUAUGACAGAUCUUUGGGAUCAAUUGGCUCUUACAGAAUCGGCAGAAUUAAAGGCAUGUGGUGCCUAUAUUGAGCGUAGAGAGCAGCAACGAUUGGUACAGUUUUUAACAGCACUUCGUAGUGAUUUCGAAGGACUUAGAGGUUCAAUUCUGCAUCGUUCUCCACUGCCUUCUGUUGACUCUGUUGUUAGUGAGUUAUUGGCUGAAGAAAUACGUCUUCAGUCUUAUUCUGAAAAGGGAAUUCUUUCUGCUUCAAAUCCUUCAGUAUUAGCAGUGCCUUCUAAGCCAUUCUCUAAUCAUCAGAAUAAGCCUUACACAAGGGUUGGCUUCGAUGAGUGCAGUUUCUGUAAGCAGAAAGGUCAUUGGAAGGCUCAGUGUCCUAAGUUGAGACAGCAGAAUCAAGCUUGGAAGUCUGGCAAUCAGUCACAAUCUAAUGCUCAUAGACCACCUCAGGGUUAUAAACCACAACACCACAAUACUGCAGCAGUAGCUUCCUCAGGUUCUAUUACCGAUCCUAAUAUUUUGGCUGAGCAAUUUCAGAAGUUUCUCUCCUUGCAGCCACAAGCAAUGUCCGCUUCUUCUUCCAUAGGUCAGUUGCCUCAUAGUUCCUCAGGUAUGUCACAUUCUGAAUGGGUCUUGGAUUCUGGUGCUUCUCAUCAUAUGUCUCCAGAUUCCUCAUCUUUUACCUUUGUAUCCCCUUUGUCCUCCAUUCCUGUUAUGACUGCUGAUGGCACUCAAAUGCCCUUAGCAGGUGUUGGUUCUGUUGUCACACCUCACAUGUCUCUCCCUAAUGUUUAUCUUAUUCCACAACUCAAAUUGAAUCUUGCGUCUGUUGGUCAAAUAUGUGAUUCUGGUGAUUAUUUAGUCAUGUUUUCUGGUUCCUUUUGUUGUAUACAGGAUCUGCAGUCUCAGAAGCUGAUUGGGACAGGCCGUAGGGAGAAUGGACUAUAUAUUUUGGAUGAGUUAAAAGUGCCAGUUGUUGUUGCUGCCGCUGCUACUACUACCGUUGAUUUGUCUUCCUUUCGUUUGAGUAUUUCAUCUUCUAGUUUUUAUUUAUGGCAUUCCCGUCUAGGUCAUGUUUCGUCUUCUCGUUUGAGAUUUUUGGCAUCCACAGGAGCUUUAGGAAAUUUGAAAACUUGUGACAUUUCUGAUUGUAGUGGAUGUAAAUUGGCAAAAUUUUCCGCCUUACCUUUUAAUCGAAGUAUUUCUGUUUCUUCUUCACCAUUUGAUUUGAUUCAUUCUGAUGUAUGGGGACCUUCUCCUGUUGCCACAAAAGGAGGGUCUCGAUAUUAUGUCUCUUUUAUUGAUGAUCAUACUCGUUAUUGUUGGGUUUAUUUAAUGAAACAUCGUUCUGAAUUCUUUGAGAUAUAUGCAGCUUUUCGAGCUCUUAUCAAAACUCAAUAUUCUACUGUGAUCAAAUGCUUUAGGUGUGAUUUAGGUGGGGAAUACACUUCUAAUAAAUUUUGCCAAUUGCUUGCCCUAGAUGGAACCAUCCACCAAACUUCAUGUACAGAUACUCCUGAGCAAAAUGGUGUUGCUGAAAGAAAACAUAGGCACAUUGUCGAAACUGCUCGUUCUCUCUUGUUGUCUGCUUUUGUUCCUAGUGAGUUUUGGGGAGAAGCUGUUCUUACUACUGUAAGCUUGAUUAAUACAAUUUCAUCUUCUCAUAGUUCGGGUCUAUCUCCUUUUGAAAAGUUAUAUGGGUAUGUCCCUGAUUAUUCCUCAUUUAGAGUCUUUGGUUGUACUUGUUUCGUUCUUCGUCCUCAUGUAGAACGAAGUAAGCUAUCCUCUCGAUCCGCUAUUUGUGUCUUUUUGGGCUAUGGUGAAGGUAAAAAGGGUUAUCGUUGUUUUGAUCCAAUAACUCAGAAACUUUAUGUGUCUCGUCAUGUUGUCUUCCUUGAGCAUAUACCUUUCUUUUCUAUUCCAUCCACUACUCAUAACCUGACUAAAUCUGAUCUUAUUAGUAUAGAUCCAUUUUCUGAGGAUUCUGGUAAUGAUAGCUCUCCCCAUGUUCGAUCAAUUUGUACUCAUAACUCUGCAGGUACUGGUACUUUACUCUCUGGCACACCUGAAGCUCCAUUCUCAUCUACAGCCCCUCAAGCUUCAUCUGAGAUUGUGGAUCCACCUCCACGUCAGUCCAUCCGUAUUCGUAAGUCCACAAAACUACCAGAUUUUGCUUAUUCUUGUUAUUCUUCAUCAUUUACUUCCUUUUUAGCCUCUAUUCAUUGUCUUGUUGAGCCCUCUUCCUAUAAAGAGGCAAUUCUUGAUCCGCUUUGGCAGCAAGCUAUGGAUGAGGAACUUUCUGCAUUGCAUAAGACAGAUACUUGGGAUCUGGUUCCUCUACCUCCUGGUAAGAGUGUUGUUGGUUGUCGUUGGGUGUAUAAGAUCAAGACUAAUUCUGAUGGGUCUAUUGAGCGAUAUAAAGCUAGGUUGGUUGCCAAAGGAUACUCUCAACAGUAUGGUAUGGACUAUGAGGAGACAUUUGCUCCGGUUGCAAAAAUGACUACUAUUCGUACUCUUAUUGUCGUAGCUUCGAUUCGUCAAUGGCAUAUUUCUCAACUUGAUGUUAAAAAUGCCUUCUUGAAUGGAGAUCUUCAAGAAGAAGUUUAUAUGGCACCCCCUCCUGGUAUUUCACAUGACUCUGGAUAUGUUUGUAAGCUUAAGAAAGCAUUAUAUGGUCUCAAACAAGCACCCCGUGCUUGGUUUGAGAAAUUCUCUAUUGUGAUCUCGUCACUUGGCUUUGUUUCUAGCAGUCAUGAUUCUGCUCUUUUUAUUAAGUGCACUGAUGCAGGUCGUAUCAUUCUGUCUUUAUAUGUUGAUGACAUGAUUAUUACUAGUGAUGACAUUGAUGGUAUUUCAGUUUUGAAGACAGAGUUGGCUAGACGAUUUGAGAUGAAGGAUUUGGGUUAUCUUCGAUAUUUCCUGGGUAUUGAGGUAGCAUACUCACCUAGAGGUUACCUUCUUUCUCAGUCGAAAUAUGUUGCAGAUAUUCUUGAGCGGGCUAGACUUACUGAUAACAAGACUGUGGAUACUCCUAUUGAGGUUAACGCAAGGUACUCUUCUUCUGAUGGUUUACCUUUGAUAGAUCCUACUUUAUACCGCACUAUUGUUGGGAGUUUGGUAUAUCUCACCAUUACUUGUCCAGAUAUUGCAUAUGUUGUUCAUGUUGUUAGUCAGUUUGUUGCUUCUCCUACUACUGUUCACUGGGCAGCUGUUCUUCGUAUUUUGUGAUAUCUUCGGGGUACAGUUUUUCAAAGUCUUUUACUUUCAUCCACCUCUUCCUUGGAGUUGCGUGCAUACUCUGAUGCUGAUCAUGGUAGUGAUCCCAUAGAUCGCAAGUCUGUUACCGGGUUUUGUAUCUUUUUAGGUGAUUCUCUUAUUUCUUGGAAGAGCAAGAAACAAUCUAUUGUUUCUCAAUCAUCCACCGAAGCAGAAUAUCGUGUCAUGGCAUCUACUACCAAAGAGAUUAUUUGGUUACGUUGGUUACUUGCUGAUAUGGGAGUUUCCUUUUCCCAUCCUACUCCUAUGUAUUGUGACAACCAGAGUUCUAUUCAGAUUGCUCACAACUCGAUUUUUCAUGAGCAGACUAAGCACAUUGAAAUCGAUUGUCAUCUUACUCGUCAUCAUCUCAAGCAUGGAACCAUUACUUUGCCUUUUGUUCCUUCUUCAUUGUAGAUUGCAGAUUUCUUUACCAAGGCGCAUUCCAUAUCUCGUUUUCGUUUUCUAGUUGGCAAACUCUCGAUGCUUGUAGCUGCCGCAUCGUGAGUUUGAGGGGAGAUGUUAAAUAAUAUUUAUGUUGUCUUAUUUAUUAAGGGUAGAAUAGUACUUUCAGUUUAACCUAUAUAUACUUUAUUUGUAAUUAGGUUAAGACUAAGCAUUCAUAAUAAACAGAUUAUUCAAAAAUCUAGCCUCCGUUUUGUGUUUGAUCUCAAUUAAUUUAACACAUAGAAGGGUGCAAGUGUCGUCGAACAUCUUUAUCAAAAGAAGAUGAUUCAAGUGUAGUUUCCAGUGUCUCUACUACCACAUCGGAACUUCUUUCAGUUAUAAAAAAUUAAAAAAAAUCGAGGUAAAUUAGUAGUAAUUUUUUAAUGAUUGACAAAGUCCAAUGCUAUACACUGUGUGUCAGGUAGAAAUGUAAAAAGUUAACAAGAACAGGACAACCAGUAUUCAAGAAAGAAUUGUAAAGCUGCCAUGGAAUGGUUAGCUUAAGUUUACAACAAUAUAGAUUAAGACAUUAAGGAGUUCAGAAAAUAAAGACAUUACCUAAUAUAUCACACUUAAUUUCAGAAUUAAUUCCUGAACUUUAUUGAAUUUUAUGUCUGCUGAGACUGAUUCUAUUAUUUGUUUAUUACUAAUUAACCACGACAUCUUCCAUUAGUUAUCAUCAUCACCAUCAUCAUGAGUCAGCACAUUCCACUUCUUUGUCUUUGGGGUAAUUUCAUUUUUUUUAUUAUUGUUGCUGAUCACCAAUGAAAGUUGUAAAAUUUUCUUAUAUAAGAAACUUACUUGAUGUUCAUGUUACAGGAACAAGAUCUUCAAGGUUUGGUAAGGGUCUUAAGAUUGCUACAGGUGAAUAUAAUAAUAAGAAUCUAAUAUUUUCAUUUGAUGACGACGACAUCGAUGAUAAUGAUGAUGAUUAUUUUCUUUUACAGCCAUAUCAGCAGUUAUGACAGCGAUAAUUGCUUUUUCUAUAAUUGCAAUUUGUUUCAGUGGAAGAGAAGGCUCAUUUAGUGGCAUUAUAGCAAUGACCUUCAAGCUGAAGAGUUCACAGAAUGUUGACAGGUUUGAUGAUAGGUCCCUGUCACAGCUAGUAAUAAAAGACAAAGAUAAAUCACAAUUGUAUUCUGCUUUGGGCGAGAAUAAGCCACAAGUUGAUAUUAUUGAAUUUUUAAUGAAUCCUUUCUCUGUCUCAUACCAGAGUUUAAAUGGUAGGGCAUAUAAAGUCAGAAUAAAUGGAAUACCUUGAAGUCGGACGUGUAUGUUUUCAAAUCUGCCCUGACAUUUCAAUGGAUUCCCAUUUGCCACCUUCACGUUGAAGGGCUGUGUUGGUAUCACUGGCAAGUGUAGCCAAUUAGCAAUCUGUUCGCUAAUGAAAUUGUGCGUGGAGCCACUGUGCCACUAUCAAUGAGGACAGUCAAAUCUUGAUUCUCAAUUCUUGCCAUAAUUCGCAUUGUUCUGGCAGUUGACCAACCAGUAAGAGCAUGUAAUGAUAUUUGAGGUUCAUCACCUUCAAAUUCCUCGUCAUCUUGCAAGCUCGUCUCAUCAUCCCCUUCCAGUAGCAACAGACGGGGCUUUUGACACUUAUGGCCAGGAGUGAAUUUUUCAUCACAAUUAAAGCAGAGACCUUGAGAUCGUCUCUUCUGCAUCUCGUCCCAAGCAAGACAUUUCAUGGGCAUGGCCGCUGGUGACUUUGUUGGAGAAAAGGAAGCAAUUGGAUUAUGAUUGAUGGAAAAUGGCUUACUGUUACGUCAUUGGCGAGUUAAUUGUUCAUCUCGCAUUCUGGCUAGGCUUAUUGCUUCUUUCAAUGAUUUGGGUUUAAACAUCCUAAUCCCUUCUGCUAUGUCUGGUUUCAAGCCUCCCAUAAAAGUCCCCACUAGUGCUUUUUGAGUCCAGCCUUGCACACGAUUACCCAGCCUCUCGAAUUCUCUUUGGUACUCCCAUAAUGAGCCCCCUUGUCUCACCCUUGACAAUGCUUCAUCAAAAUCCUCACAUUCUGGUGGUCCAAACCUUGCCCACAAUUCCUCCUCAAAAAUUGGCCAUGUCACCUCUCUGUCUUUGUCUUUGUAAGCACGUCUCAGCCAUUGCCACCACUGGUUCGCCUCCCCUUGAAUAUGAAAAGAUGCUAACGACACCUUUUGUGUUUCGGCAGUGCCUUGAUACUCAAAGAAUUGAUCAACUCUGUUGAACCAUUCAGUGGGGUCAUCUCCUGAGUAUAUUGGAAACUCAAGCUUCGCCAGUUUGGAAGAGAACAUAUGUUUGUUCCCAUCUGUUCGUUCUGUGAAUUCUUCACGCUGAUGGCGAGGUCGUCCGUUGCGCUCAAUGGAUUGGCUGCUGGAUCCUUCUUUGUUGGACAGUAACGCCUCUAUCAAUUUGUUGAUGUUGGCUUCCAUCUGAUGCAUUUUGUCAACAAGGGUAAUCUCCAUUCGACUCAUUCCAUCCUGAAGUCCUCCCAGACCCACUUCUAAAUUUUCUAUUCGCUCCUUGUUUGUUGUCAUUGUUGACCAGCUCUAAUACCAAUUGAUAGGUCCCUGUCACAGCUAGUAAUAAAAGACAAAGAUAAAUCACAAUUGUAUUCUGCUUUGGGCGAGAAUAAGCCAUAAGUUGAUAUUAUUGAAUUUUUAAUGAAUCCUUUCUCUGUCUCAUACCAGAGUUUAAAUACAGGAAUGAAAUAACAAACUUUCCUAAAAUACUGGCACGACUACAUACAAUCAAGAUUCUUAGCAACUGACUCCUGCUACAUAGUUGGCAUUUAUUUAAUUUGAUAAAUAAGACUUGACUUCUUCCUCCCGUGCACUGAGGACACUGCAGUGACUGGAUCCCCUUGACUCGUUCUUCCCUUGACUGGCUCUUCACAGCUCUAUGAACCUGCGAUUCUUUUUAGGAACUCUGUGCGAUCUUCUUGGCUCCAGAUCACUUGGCUCCAGCUCAUCACUUGGCUCCAGCUACUGCUUAUCAUUUGAAACAUUUAUGAUGUAUCAUUGUCUCACCCCAAGGCGUUAUUCAUAUUCAGACAUUAAGAAAAUCACCAACUCAUUCACCAAUAAACUAGGUGAGGGGGGAUUUGGUAAUGUAUACAAAGGAAAGUUAACGGACGGUCGACUUGUGGUCGUAAAAGUCCUAAAAGAAUCCAAAGGUGAUGGAGAAAAGUUCAUGAAUGAAGUUGCGAGCAUUAGCAGAACUUCCCACGUGAAUAUAGUUACACUUUUGGGUUUCUGCUAUGAGAAGACUAAAAGAGCUUUGAUCUACGAAUUCAUGACCAAGGGAUCUUUAGACAAGUUCAUAUCUUAUGAAGGAACCCCAGAUACAAAUUUUGGUUUACAAUGGGAAAGGUUUUAUGAAAUUGCAGUUGGUAUUGCUAGAGGUCUCGAGUACUUACAUAGAGGUUGUAACACUCGACUUGUGCAUUUUGACAUAAAGCCUCACAACAUUCUUCUCAAUGAAGAUUUUUGUCCAAAGAUCUCUGAUUUUGGUCUGGCAAAGCUAUGCAAGAGUAAAGAGAGUAAGGUUUCAAUGACAGACGCAAGAGGGACUGUUGGUUACAUAGCACCUGAAGUGUUCUGCAGAAAUUUUGGUGGAGUAUCUUACAAGUCUGAUGUGUAUAGCUAUGGAAUGAUGGUUCUAGAAAUGGUCGGAGAAAGAAAAAAAAAAUAUACUGGAUCUUCGAAAACCAGUGAAAUGUAUUUCCCUGAUUGGUUUUACAAGUAUCUUGAACCGGGAGAGAUUACAUUACUUCAUGGGGGUAUAUCAGAAGAGGAAGAAGAGAUUAUAAAAAAGAUGAUUUUAGUAGGUUUGUGGUAGAGAUGUUUGAAGGUAGUCUUCACCUCUUUGCAAAUUCCACUUAAACUUGUACUUUCUUCACCUAAAAGGUCUGCUCAAGAUCACUCUUCCACUAUAUCAUCACUGCCAAUGUGUCGUCACAGGGGGGUGGAGUGAACAAAUUGUCAGUUGAUGAAAGUAACUCUUAACUGGAGAUUUCAAUACUUUGUGUAGCCUGAUGAAGAUAUAAAAAACCUUAUUUCAUGUCCUUCAUCUAAGAGCUGCUUCUAGGCUGAAUGGUUCUUUGAUAUAGCUCACCGGAGGAUACUCGUACAGGAUUGGUAAGAGACACUAUCGUCUCUCUCCAUCUCUUUUUUUCACCACUGAUGCAUACCAAUUAUAAUAUGUUCUUCAUGUUCAAUCUGCUGAAAGUGUAGAACGUUCUAUUCCUACUUGCCUCUUAUUGUUUAUGAUUUCAAGAGUUAGACAAUAAAUGAGGUUCAGCUUUAUCAUGUCUAUGGUUAAUGUCAUAUGUCCUGCAUUACAACUUUCUUAGUGGACUUUCAUAUUUUUCUUACUCUGUUUAUUUGAGAAAUAUAUUUUCCAACUUGGUUUAAUAAGUAUGACAGAAGAUGAAAAAGAGAUUGUAAGGAAGUCCACUAUAGGAUGAGGAAAAGAUAUGAAGAUGAUCUUAGUGGGUUUGUGGCGCAUUCAAACAAAUCUGUCAGAUAGAGCAUCAACGACAUGAUAUGUGGAUAAUAUAUGUUAAUUGCAAGCACGCAGCACUAAUAGGAAACUCUACCCUCACUGCCUCUGGUUUUUGUUAAUGGUAAUAUGUGUUAAUUAUGAUUUGUACUUGAUGCUCAGAACUGUAGAAUUAGUCUGUCAUCCGUCACUGUUAAACAAGUUCAAAAUUUAGAGAAAUAACUUGUGGUUAAUUGAUAUCUUAGGGAGAUGAUGAUUCCUUGUGCCAAUUUCAGACGCAUCUUUACUACCCAUCUACCCUGCAUUUUGCUGGGGUAAGGGUCUUAUUGGAUCAAUACUGAGCUCUCAUACUAUCUUUCAUGUCCUGUAAAGCUCUUUCUGUUGUUUUGGUAUGGUCCAGGAGUGCUUCUUUCUUUCAUGUUGAAGGCAUUUUGACCAUUUUAAAUGUGGCAGAAUAUGAAACUGCCUGCUCAGCAGAGCUUGACUAUGAGUUUAUUUGAAAUGCUUUCAACAUUCCCUAUCACCAAUCAAAAAAACUAUGUUCGUAUGUAGGAACUUCUUGAGGCUUAUAUAAGUUUGUCAACGUUCUAUGAUCCCCCAAGUUCUGAAAAUCCCCUCCUUCAGAUUUUUGCUAACUGGACUGAAAUAAUUCUAACUAUUAAAAAUUAAGUACCAAAUUGAAAUUGUAUACGUAAUUUAGGGACAUGUAUGAGUUUUACCCAUCAAUUUAUUAUUAUCUUGUGUAGUUGAGGCGCUUGUGUAUAAUUCUUUAAAAAAAAUCAGAUAAGAAGGAAAUACUUAUCUAGAUAUAGGUUUGAUUAAGAAAAAGAGAUGUUAAUUAAAGAGGUAAUUAUAGGCUAACAACUAGAAUUCCAUAAGUUCUGUGUAGCCAUAAGGGGAAAAAAAAAGGAGCAAGGAACGAUGGGAAACCAAUGCUUGUGAGUUGUCACACGUGGACGCACGGUGUGGAGGGUUGAGGAAGUCGCUACCUAAUUAUUUGGUUCAGAAUCGCUACGAAACCUGAUUAUACUGGUUUUAUCAGAGAUUCAAGAGUAAGUGAUUGGUUUUGACUAGAAAAUGUAUUAGCUCUCCUAACACACUCUACCUAAUAUAAGCUACUUUGUGUGGUUUUCAUGGGUUUUAAAGAUUUUCAUGGGUUCCUAAUCGAUAGUCAAUCUAUGGUUUAAAAUGAAGGCGGAUGGGUUUUCUACAACUUGUGCAUCGUAGAAAACCUUUAAAAUAAGUAAAUAUUUAGAAUAAUUUUGAGAAUUUUCUAGUCAAUUUCUAAUAUUUAAAUAUCAACAUGGUUGUAGGUCCAACAUUUAUACCAAAAUAUUUACCAUUAAUUCUCAUGAAUUAAAAUUUUAUCAGUUAUAUAAAUAUUGACUAAAUUCUUGUCAUAAUCCAAUUUUGGCCCAUUGGCUUUUAAUUUAAUUUUUACAGGGUUUAAAAUGUAAAAUUAAAAUAUCAGAGACUUAUUUCAAUGAAAAGUGUGAUUUGUCAACUUGCGUGAAAAUUAAGGACUAUAAUGUGCUUUUGUCAUUCUAUCCUUAUCUUUGAGAUAAUCCUUACGUUCGAAAUAUUCUUUAUUUUCAAGAUAAUCCUUACCUUCAAGAUAAUGAAAGUUGUUUGAUUUUGAAUUCGAUUAUAAUUUGAAUUUCAAAAAAUUGAAUGAAUUUGAUUGAGACUUUACUUCUUUACAGACUCUUGCACUAUAAAUAUUGAUCCUAGUCUAUGCAAAAUAGAGGAGAAGGACAAUUAGAGAAAAACCCUAAAAAGGAGAAAACCCUAGGAGAAAGCCAUUACAAAAAAACUAAAAAAAACAGAUAUUUACAAAAAGAAAAGGGGCGCGGCCGAAUCCUAGAAUGGCGGCCGCUGCCCCUCCCCCUAGCUUCUUUGUCCCCGUCGUUCUUCCCCUCCUCCCUAAACUAGCCAAAGCAUCGCCUUCUCACAGGAACCGCUCCCUCACCCCUACUUUUAAAAGACCACCCUCUGGUCUCUCUCUCCGGAACUAGACCCUCUCCCUCAGCCCGUUUCUCUGUUUUCUCUUCACCACCAUCUUCAGCCUCACUUCCUUCCCUCCCUGCCAACUGAAGCCUCAACCACUGGGAGUAUGCACCAGCCAUAAUAGCACCCUCAUCUUUGGUUUAGGCAGCAUGACCACUCCAUUGCAGCGCUGCACCCUGGCAAAUGGCACACCCUCAGCCCAGUUAUGAGAAGUUCCUCUCCACUGUGACCAGUUUCCCAUAUCUCGGCCGAUGCUGCUCCAUCUCUCUGCUUCCCCCGUGACAACAGCUCAAACUAAUAGCCCCAUUGUGAUCCCCUAUUUUAGCUAUGGUUGAUAAUGACAACACAGGGAGCAGCAGCAGCACAGCAACCGGACACUCUCCCAGCCUCCAUUAAAGCAACAUUUAGAAGCUCUCCUUCGCGAUAGCAGCACCCUGUAAACUCCAUUCAGCAGUGAGAGUUCUUCAUUAUCGCCUCGUCUCUGCGCCAGGUAAGCUCUUCUCAUCUCUGUACAUGCAUAACAUAACUCACUUCCUUACUGUGCAUGUGAAAUUUAAUGCACCGAUCGUUGUUCAUCCACGCGUCCCUCACCUUCCUUUCCAGCCACAGCCACGACAGGUGAGUUCUCCUUCUUUCCCUGUUUGCUAAAAUUAAUUAGCAUAUUACUGUUGCUUGCAUGCGUGAAUUGUUCUCGCAUGCAUACAACAGUGGCCACACCGGGUCACUGAUUUGUACCAGUGACCCGACCCUUUUUUUUUUAGUUUUGAGACCAGGCUACAUAAAUUUAAAAAAAAACAGAAAAAUAAGAAGGUAGAAAAAAAAUGUGUAUGCACGAAUAAAAAUAAUGUAAAUUUAUUGGUUUAUUCACUGACGCCAGAGUCGGGAAUAAAAAAAUACCGGUUUAAAUUUAUAUUAUUUUUAUUCGUGGUACUUUAUUUUAUUUAGCUAGAAAAAUAAAAAAAUAUGUGCAUGCGUAAAAAUAAAUUUAUUUUUAUUUAUUUAUUCACUGGCUCCAGAGUCGGGAAUAAAAAAAAUAUUGGUAAAAUGUUUCUCCUGGUUUUUGAGUGAAAGUGGUGAUUUGUCUUUUGAAAGAGUUUGUUCUAUGAGAUGAAAAAAAACUUCUUUAAAAAUUGUUGUUGCAUUUCAUCCCAAGCACGAAUGGAUCCUGGUCUCAAAUUUUAUAGCCAUGUUUUAGCUUUAUCUUUUAAAGAAAAAGGAAAAAGCUUUAAUCUGAUAGUGUUCAUGCUACAAUUUGAGUCAUUAUAAGUGUUACAAUCUUCCUUAAAUUCUCUCAAAUGCAAGUAUGGAUUUUCUAGAUCUAAGCCAUGAAAAGAAGGUAAAAGUUGAAUAAUAUCUGACUUAAAAUUAAAAUGAGAUGCAUCAGGAGGAAAAAAUAUACAUGAUCGCGCAAUUGUUCUUGUUGGAUUCAUGUAGUCUCUAAGUGUUCUAACCCGAUUAUUCUCAUUAUUCUCAUUAUAAAGCGAUUGAUUAUCCUCUUCGGCCAUGUUUUCUAAAAAAGAUGAGUAUACUUUACAAAGUUUAUCAUUUAAUGUACGUGACCAAACUCUCAUGCACGUGUAGAAAGAGAAGAAAAGGAAGAAGAAAAGAAAAACAAAAAGAAACAAAACAAAAGAAACAAAGUUAGAAAAAAAAAAUACUAUAAUUUAUACAAGAAUUUACCUCCCCGGCAACGGCGCCAAAACCUUGACACUACCAAAAGAUUGAUGUCUUCUCCCAAGUGCAGGAGUGUCGAAGUAAUAAAUAACCCGGCAAGACCGGGGUCGAACCACAGAGAGGUUAAUUGUAUAAAUUAUAAAUAACAAGACAACAACAACAACAACAACAAUAAUAAUAAUAAUACUUAGUACGUGGCGUUGUUAUACCUGAGAAUGAUCUAAAAGAUCGGGUCACAGGUUUCCAGCCUAUAUACUGAGUUUAUGAAAAGAUCAAAGAGAUAAAUUAUAUAAUAUAAACAGAAUGUAAAUAAUAAUAAUAAUAAUAAUAAUAAUAUUAAUAAGAGGAGGAAGAAAUUAAUGAGAACUUUGAGAUGGAAGAUUAAUAUAAGGAUUAAACAAUGAUAAAAAUAAAUGUCAAGGUUAGAGAAUCCACCAAUGGUAUUUCAAACAAGUAUAGUAUAAACUCUUAUUAUUCAACUAGAAACCACACACAAAGGAGGUUCCAAUCGGAUGAUUUCUCAUUAAUAGCUCAUUAUAAAUUAUUAACAUGAUCAUAUUAAUUAUCUUAAUUACAUAACACCAAACUUUUAAAUAUUGUUAGGAAUUCAUGAUAUUAACUGAUGUUAACAACAAAUCAAGUUUCUUUUCAUAGCCCAGGUGUAGGUAAUACCAUACUAUUGGGCUAUGAGAGUGCCAAGCAUUUGUUGUACCAAGUGUUAUACAACACAAAUCUAGAUUAACCAUUUAACAAGCAAGGUAUUAAGAAUUAGUAAGAUAAAAAGAUAAUAUAUGUUAAUAUUAAACAUUAAGAUCCAUGUUUAGUUUACACUAUAUUUAUUCUUACACCAUUAGUGUAACCUUUUCACCUUGACAUAAUAAACUUAGCUAAACAUAAUGAAGAAGAGAAACAUAAAUAAACAAAACAAGAACAUAAAGAAAAUACAAGUUAACUAAGUAAAGGAAAGGAAAUGAAAAGCAUAAACAAGAUAUUAAUGAAAACAAAACUUAAAAAUUACAAAAAAAAUAUAAAGAGAGAAGUAAAGAGCAUGAGCUUGAUCUGAACAACCAAGCCCCUAAAUACAUGGAAAAUGCCUCCUUUUAUAGGCUAAAAUUCGGAAUUAUUGAUUUGAUGACUAAUUGUUGAGUUGGUGGCCAACUUUUGACUUGAUGAAAAUCCUUAUCUUCUUGUCUGAAUAAAACAAAAAUGCUACCAUCCGAACUGGGUCCACUAGAAAGAUGAAAGUUGUAGGAAAUUGACUCAGAUUUUCAAGAAAAAAAAGUAGAGGUCAUUGGGACUUCUAAAACUCCAGAUAUGGGCCAAACACUGAACAGUGUUUGGGCUGCAGGAUAGAUUCGGACUUCUCCGUUGUUGCUAUGAUUUGGACUUGAAAACGGCUUUGAUAGAUUUUUAUGUUCACAUGAAAGUUGUAGGCCUAUGUCUCACCAAGUUUGUGUAAAAAUUUGAGAUCAUUUGGACAUCUAGAACUCGAGAUAUGACCCAAAUACCGAAUAGUGUUUCAGUUUGGACUGCACCAACAUCUCUUUUCUAAGUUCACCCUUCUUUAUCUUCAAAAUUUCAGAAGUUGAAUUCAUCAAUCAAUCCUUUGAUUUAUGUGAUAAGCCUGCAUUUAAGAUGAACAUUUACCAUAUAUUAAGGCAUUUUGUAGUAUUAGACUUGUUAUUAUAAAACAUGCUUUAGUUAAGGAGUUAUUGAUACUUUAAGUGCAAAAUGAUGAUAUAAAACCUUGAUAAAUAUGCAUUUUUAAGUACUAAUCAGGACGCAUCAAAGUGUAGUGAGAAAGAUAUUGAAUAUUCUUGUACUAGAUUAUAAAGGUUUAAUAAGCACAAAUUAGAGUAUAACCAAUGAUUGAUGAUUUUAAAGUAGUUUUGCUUUUAGAAUAGCUUGUAUAUAACAUAUGUUUGGAUUCCCUUGUUAAUUUUAAAAUUAGACAAGCUAUAUAUAUGUUUUUAAAAAAAACUUGUUGUUUAUAAUCGUUACAGUCUCAUUAACAACUAAAACGGUCAAUUAGUUUAAAUUGAUCAAGUCAAUCUGUUGACUAAUUCUUGCAAAAUUCUCUUGUAUCCAUCACUGAUAAAUAUAGAUAAGCCGAUUCAUUUGGUCAUACCUAACGGUCGACUAGUUCAUGUAUAAUUUCAAUUAUGAUAGAUUAACCUAGGUGAAUUUUUAGAAUCGUCUAUCUUAGAUUUUAUCAUAUGAUUUAUCAAUUCUUUAAAGUAUGCAUGGUGAAGUGUGUGAAUUUAUUGUAAUUGUGUUAUCAAGUAGGAUAUAAAGAUUUACAUCGAGCACUUAAAAUGAAUACUAAUCUAAGUCUUCAUUUGCUUUCUUUUUUGAAUGCUCGAUUGAUUUCUUCACGAAAUCCAUCAUGCUCGUUUUUAUACUCUUGAAUAAAAAUAUUUAAAACUUAUUCUCACCAAGGCAUAUUAUUAAUCUAUUUUCAUUUUAUUGUUAUAAUUAAAAUAUGUAAAAAUAUGAAUAUUUUGAUUUAAAGGUCAACAAUUAGCUUUUAAUGAAUAUAAUGAUAUUCGUUCAAAUUUAUGUAACUAAUGCUAUUUAAUUUUUUAUUUUUGUUGGAUUGAAAUGAAGGAGAACAAUGGGGAAAUCGUUAGUAAAAUUUGAUUUUUUUGGUUGGCUUGAAAUGAUCAAGAAUUGUUUAGCAAUUAGUUAUAAACAUGAUUUUAGUGGGCUUCUUAAAAUGUAAUGAUUUUUGGUUGGCUUGAAAAUUUUCAAAUACCUGUCUGUUGGAAAUUUCUGCUUCAAUUUCCACCAGAGCCAACCCUUUGCCAUGACCCAGUCAAGAGUCAUGUACUAUCCAACCCCUCUUCCAUUAGGCCAUUACCACACUACCCUAUUUCCUUGCAGCAUUUCAGUACACCCAGAACACCCACCACCAUCACGCCCUUCUAAUUCAAUUUUUUUAUUUUUGUUGGGUUGAAAUGGAGGGGAACUAUGGAGAAAUCUUUUGUAUAAUUUGAUGUUUUUGGUAUAUAAAUCAACUUCAAUUUGAUGUUUCAAAUUUUAUUGUUUACAUGUUUUUUUUUUAUAUUUUUGAUGCUUGAACAAUAAGUUAUAAACAUGAUUUUUGUGGGUUUUUUUUAAAAUGUAAUGACUUGGUGCAACAGUAAGAUUGUGAUUUUUUCAAGAAAGUUGUCAAUGGUAAAAUUAUUUUUUUUGUGUUGUUUUUUGUUUUCCAUGGCUCUUUAAUCAUUAAAAUUAUUAUAAUGGCAAACAUGGAAAUAAUAACAAAAUUUUGUUGAUUUUUAUUUUGGUGCCAAAAUAAAGAACGUGAAGUGUAUUGAAGUUAUUAAAGCUCCUGAGGGAAAAAGUACUUUACUAAACUUUGAAGAAAAAGUGAAAAACGAAAAGUAAUUAUCCUUUUUUCUAUAUAUAAAGCUAAUUAUUAGUAUUUGUGUUCAACCUUAUUUCUAAUUAAGAAAGAUACUAAAACAGUAAUAUAAUUCUUAAGAAAUAGGUUGAUUUCAUUCAUUUAUAAAUUUAUCUACCGUAAUACCAUAUAUAAUAUAAGACUUUACUUUCACUAUUAAAAUUAUAAAAAUGGUUAAAAAGAAGUCAGAUAAAGCAAAUGAUUCAAAUUUAAAAAGCAAUUAAAUCACAUCAAGAUUUAGAAGUAUUAACUAAUUCUUUUCUAAAAUAUUCCAUGAGAGUGAUGUAUGGUAUUUUAAGUAAUUUUAAAUUAUAUAAUAAAAGAAAAUAGGAAGAAGAGAAUCAAUGACUUGAAAGUUUUUUUACGAAGUCUUGGUAAACCAUGGAACAGGAUCGAUGGUACAACGUGGUCCAGGGGUUAACACAGAAAAACGAUGCCAUUUCCCAUUAGCAUACUUUUCCUGCUAUCCCAAAAUUUUCAAAUACCUGUCUAUAGGAAAUUUCUGCUUCAAUUUCCUCUUGACUGACUUAAACAACUUUUCAGCCAACGUACCAGAGCCACCCAACCAUUGCCAUAACCCAGUCAGGAGUCAUGUACUAUCUAACCCUCUUCCAUUAGGCCAUUACCACACUACCCUCUUUCCUUGCAGCAUUCCACACCAGAACAACCACCACCAUCAUCCCCUUCUAAUUCCUCCACCAAUGCACCCCUCAGCACGCUGCUGCCACCUCCUUCCUUUCCACCUCUAUUGUUCCUCCACUUAACGGCAUCAUCUCCUUCGAAUUACAUGAUUGAUUUCCAAACUGCAACCAAAACUUCUCUUGUGGUGACCUCACAAACAUCAAUUACCCUUUCCCCAGUGGCCAACUUCCACCCGACUGCGGCCCACAGGAGUUCAAUUUCACAUGUCAUGGUGACAAAGUGACCACCCUCAUAGUUAAAUCACUGCCUUACCGAAUCAAUCGGGUUGACCACACCAGCCAUACCUUAAGGCUCUCACGUUCAGACUUCUACGAUGACUUUCCAUGCCCCCACCUAUCCAGUAACACCACUUUUGAUAACGUUACCUUCAGCCUUGCCUCCGACCAUGAAACCCUUACUUUCUUUUAUGGGUGCACGGACUUAGGUGGCUCUGUCAAGGAAAACUCUAAGUUCUCAUGUCCCAUGCCAGGAUAUUUAGAAGAAGGGUUUUUCAAGGUUGGUGAUCAUCCUUAUGUGGAUCGGUGUCCGACUAGUUUUCAAGUGCCAUUUCUCCGGAGGUGGAAACAACAACUUGAGGCUGAAGGGUCAUCAUUACUUGGUAAGGUUUUGAAAGAAGGGUUUGAUGUACGUUAUAGUGAUCCUUACAGUGCUGAUUGUCAGAAGUGUUCCAAGCAUUCUGGUAGGCAAUGUGGGUUUGAUGGUAUUUGCAUCUGUAAUGAUCAGCUCUGUCCUGGUAAGUUAAAAUCGACAUUAAUUUUGACUAGCCAAAAUCUUCUAGUUUCCUUACGAGUUUGAUAGCUUUCAAGACAAGCUAGGCCUUCUUGUGGUAAUUGAUAUGGAGGGUUUUUUUUAUCAAAUUAUACAAAGCUUCAAUGAUUUCAAGAAUUAAUGCUUGAAUUGCUUGCAAGGCUCACAAGUCCAGUAGCUUCAUUUACUGGUAGUGAAUAAUAAAUUAUAGCAUUCAUUCAAUGUUCAUGUUAAGAGGUUCAAUGUUCAAAAUUAUGCUUCUUUGCUUGAGUCUGUGUUCGGUUCUAUGGGGUUAUCAUUUGAACUCAACAAUAUGAUCCAUUUCUUCUUCAUCAGAUGUUAAAUAAUUCUCGUUUAAGCUCUGCUAAAUUUUUUUUGCAAUAAUUAAUGCUUUUUUCUCUAGUAGUUGCGGUCAGUGAUAGGAAAAAGUUGCGCUAUUCAAUUACUCAAAAGGGUUUUCCCCUGCUUUUCUCUGUUUUGACCCACCAUUUUUGCUUGUUUCUCCAUGGAUAACCUGCAUCCUUUACUGUGGCCGUUGUUUAGGUCCAUAGCAUGUGUGUCCAUAAUCUGACUGAAUUCCUGAAUUAGUUUGUAUUUAACAAAUAAUAAUUAAGAUAACCACAAUCAAAUUUUAGAAGUUUCUUGCUAUCUGAUCUUGCUAAGUCCCAAAUUUGUUCCAAACUUUUUAUUCAUGCGUCAACUAAUGCUUCUCGCUCUCGUGAAUUUUGCAGAGAAGUCUAACCGAAAACGACUUAUAAUAGGUACAACUCUGCUACAUUACUGUAUUAAAUCAGCACUGAAAAGAAAAGCUGAGCAGUUUCAUUUUUAUCAUUUCCAGGAGUCAGCUUGGCAAGUGGAGCACUUGUUAUCUUUGUGGGAUGCUGGAUCAUGGUUAUCAAACAUAUGAAGAAAAGAAAAUCUGCCCUAGUGCAAAGCGAAGGCCUUCCUGCAGUUACACCUACUUCAAGCAACGGCCUUGCUACUUCAAUUAAUUUCUUUCGAGCUACUCCUUCUCUUGCCAACUUGAAGUCUGACCUUGAUAAGGGCAGCACCUAUCUUGGAGUCAGGGUGUUCAGCUACAACGAACUCGAGGAAGCCACUAAUUGUUUUCAUUCUUCAAAAGAACUUGGAGAAGGAGGGUUUGGCACUGUUUACUAUGGUUAGAAGAUGAAAUUAUUUUAUUUUGCAGUAUAGUAACUUUGCAUAAAUUAACUUCUUUGUUGACUCCUUUCUAAAGUUUUAACGUAAUUGCUUGAAUGAUCAGGAGUACUCAGGGAUGGGCGUGUGGUUGCUGUCAAGCGCCUAUAUGAGAGCAACAUGAGACGUGCUGAGCAGUUUAUGAAUGAAGUUGAGAUCCUAGCUCAUUUGCGGCACAAGAACCUGGUGGAACUCUAUGGAUGCACCUCAAGGCAUAGCCGAGAGCUUCUACUUGUUUAUGAAUACAUGCCUAAUGGAACCGUCGCUGAUCAUCUUCAUGGAAGACAGUCGAACUCUGGUUUGCUCACUUGGCCUGUUCGGUUGAGCAUUGCUAUAGAGACAGCCAGUGCACUCGCAUACCUCCACGCUUCAGAUGUCAUACAUCGUGAUGUCAAAACCAAUAACAUUCUCCUAGACAACGACUUCCAUGUGAAAGUGGCUGAUUUUGGCUUGUCGAGAUUGUUCCCAACUGAUGUAACUCAUGUAUCGACUGCUCCUCAAGGGACGCC
rnacentral:lncRNA from 1 species